rnacentral:lncRNA from 1 species
CAAAAGUCAAAACAAACGGGGUGAGUUUGUAGAUCUGGAAAAAGGGAUUAGAAGAAUCGAUAAUACUAUACAGAAAAACGAUUAUCAGACGAUCACAAAAAUAAAAGAAGAAAAACGAUUGAGUUGUAAGAUUCGUCCUCUGUAUCAGACUAAAUCUUAACUCUCUGACAAAAAAGCAAAAGGAGAGAAAGUACACAUAUUACAUAUAUAUAGACAAAAAGUGGGAAUUAGGGUUUCGGUGUAACAAAAACUGGGCCAGAUUUUUAUAAUAGGUCCAGUGAAAGCCCUAAAUAUCACUAUAUAGUCCAACCCUACACGUAUAGUAAUUAAUUUCUUUAAAAAAAAAGGCAUUCUUUUUUUUUUAACUGGCUUUCAUAUUAAAACAGAGAAGAAGGUUACAGAGUUUAACAUGAGAAACAGAAACAAUAAAACAAAACAGCUGAGAAAUAAGAAAAACAAAGACUCUAAAUCCGAUUUGAAACAGCCCUAGAAGGGGAUAAACAGAGGCUCACAAGAAAGACCCAAGUAAAAUGGUACGACAAACAGCAGACAGCUCUAAAAUGGUUUGACACACAGACAAGUUGAACAUGCAACUCCGGGUCUUACAUCCUAAUGUCGUCACGCUGCUGUUAAUCCUGAGAGGAGCUGGAGCUACCUCACUCAAGUCCAUACUUGAAAAACCUCUGACGAAUAAGCACACAGAAGGAGAGGGGCUUCAUACCUGAAGGGCACGAGACACAGGCAAACCCACUGGACGAAAAACGGGCGUUAAGGAAAGCUGCUUGAUGAAAGAGACUACAAAACCUGCACUGAGAGGAACAAGACUGUAUCUGCCAAGGGCAAUCAAAUGAGGCACCUCGACACUGGGAUGAUACAUCCUUAAUCGCGCCGUCCAGGAGGAGAAAAACGGGGCUCCAUGACCACGAACCCGAUAAGACACCACCCACGAUACUUCUCUUAGAACAAGAGAGAGUUUCCUCACAUGAAAAGGGGACAGUCGAGACAGAAUGAAUGACCACGAAGAUGAAGAACAAGAUCCUGAAAAACCAAGAAACCCAGAAAGCUCACAGCCAGGAGACGGGCACUCAAACACCAAUGCCGUGAACCGGAGAGGACAAAGAAGGAGCAGCUUGACGAGACAGUUGACGCCUAAGUACCAGACACCUCCACGUGCCUAAAACCAUCCUUUAAGCUACACGCGCCGCCGGGAGAAUACACCUGACACCGCCAAGAUUUUCAACACCGUCGCGCACCAAGCGAGCAAAACCCACGAAGUCCAACUUGGGGAUGAUUGAAGAAGCUGCUACCCCCGAGACACCAAGGGAGAGAGCAAUACCCCACGACCACCUCCCCCUGCUGACACAGACCGGUGAAUCAGAUCUGCCACAAAAGAGCCUACUCCAGAGAUCACGCGCCAUCAGAACCAGCUAAGGAUAGAUCUCACCAAAUAGAUCUAAAAUGAAAGAUCUGAACACCUAGCCACCCAAAAAGCCGACUCCGCAGCCUGUCGCGCCUCCACGAACCUCACCGUCCCACCAAGGCAACUGGUGACUACAGAUCUGGAGAAACCGCCAUGGUCGGACCCCAAUUCCGUCUUCAGACAUGAAACCUCAGGAUUUCAGUAUAUCAGCAAGGGAGAGGAGACAGAGAAGCGAAGCAAACAGAAAACAAGAGAGGGAAGGAAGAGAACUCGAUGCUGGCGGCGAGCCGCCUACGCCGGUGACAACGAUGGAUUUCUUUUUCUUUUUUAGAGAGAGGCGAGAGGCUUUUCUGAGCUGUCUAAAUCCCUUAUAUAUUAAUUGAGGAACAUUUCAAAAGAUAUAACCUCAAUUUUGUAUUAAUUAAAAGAAGCCCCAAUGCAUAGGUGGCACUCAAUUAGGUAGUCAAUUACAUUCAAUUGAAAAAUAAGUAGGUCCACAUUCGAUUUUUAUAUGUUGUUAGAUACAUAAGUUGGUCAAACUAUAUGAUAUAAUGAUAUGAUAUGAUAUUUUCUUUCCUUAAAUAAAACCUACGGAAUUACCAUAAAUGACUAAUAUAUAUAUGACAAUUAAUGAGUUUAAUAAUAAAGAUUUGAUAACAAUGUAUAUCUCCUCCAUCAUUUUUGUUUAAUUUUAUAUUAUUAAAAUAAAUUAAACAAUCAAAUUAGCUAUAAAAAUAAAAUUUAGAUUUUUUCGUAUAUGUUAUAUUUUGAAUUUUUAAAAACGACAAUAAAUGACUAAAACUAUUAAAAUUAUUAUGUUAAAAAUUAAUGAUCAAUGGUUUAACAUUUUUAUUAUAAGAAGAUACACAUGAUUUUAAAACCAUAUGAGUAAAAAAUAUCAUUUAAUAAAAAAUAAAUAUAUAUAUAUAUAUAUAUUAAACACUAUAUACCAUAAGAUUACAUAAAUAUUUUAAUAUUAAAACUUUCAAUGAAUUUGCAAGAACAUUUAUAAAUUAUAAACUUAUUAAAGAUUUCAGAUUGAAAAUUUUGUUAUCGAUGAUUUAAAUAUUUUGUUAUAAAACGAUAUGAAUGAUCAUAGAACCGUAUGAUUAUAAAUUCUUAUUUAAUAAAUAACUAUACAAAAUAUACUAUUCUAGAAAAAUAGGUUGGUCCAUCUUAACUUAUAUUGCACUUUUUAUUAAACUAACUAUCGAAUUGAUAAAUAACGUACCAAAAAAUGUUUUGCACUUUCCAUUAAAUAAAAGCUACGAAAUUACCUAAUAUGAUUAACGUAUAUGUGAAAAUUAAUUAUAAUGAAUAAUAAAUAUUUGAUAACAAUUUUUGUAUCUUAGUUCUUUUUUUAAUUUUAUAUUAUUAAAAUAUAUUUAAAAAUCACAUUAAAUAUAUAAUAAAAAACAUUUAUAAUUUUUUUAUAUGUUAUAUUUUGAAUUUUUCAAAACGUCUAUAAAUUAUUAGAAAUUUGAAGAUCCCCACUCUGAAAAUUUUGUGAUCAAUAGAUUAUUUUUUUUUGUCAUAAUAAGUUACAAAUGAUCAUAAAAUUGUAUUAAUAUGAACUUUUAUUUAAUAUUAUAAGAAGAUACACAUUAUUUUACACCAUAUGAGUAAAAAAUAUCAUUUAAUAAUAAAACAUAUAUAUUUAUAUAUAUAUAUAUAGAUUAUACUAUAUACCAUAAGAUUACAUAAAUAUUUUAAUAUUAAAACUUUCAAUGAAUUUUCAAAAACAUUUAUAAAUUAUAAACUUAUUAAAGAUGUCACAUUGAAAAUUUUAUUAUCGACGAUUUAAAUAUUCAGUUAUAAAAUGAUAUGAAUGAUCAUAGAACUGUAUGAUUAUAAAUUCUCAUUUAAUAAAUGACUAUAUAAAAUAUACUAUUCUUAGAAAAAUAGGUUGGUCCAUCUUGACUUACAUUAUAUUUUGUAUUAAACUAACUAUCGAAUUGAUAAAUAAUCUACCAAAAGUUUUUUUGCACUUUCCUUAAUUAGAAGCUACGGAAUUACUUAAUAUGAUUAACGUAUAUAUGAAAAUUAAUUAUUAUGAAUAAUAAAUAUUUGAUAACAAUUUUGGUAUCUUAGUUCUUUUUUUUUUAAUUUUAUAUUAUUGAAAGAUAUUAAAAAAUCACAUUAAAUAUAUAAUAAAAACAUUUAUAUUUUUUCUUAUAUGUUAUAUUUGAAUUUUUCAAAACGUCUAUAUAUUAUUAGAAAUUUGAAUAUUCCCACUCUGAAAAUUUUGUGAUCAAUAGAUUAUUUUUUUGUUAUAAUAAGUUACAAAUGAUCAUAAAAUAUAACGCAUAUGAAUUUUUAUUUAAUAAAUAUUCAAACUAAAUAAUAUAUAUAUAUAUAUAUAUAUAUAUAUAUAAACACUAAUGAUUUAAAACAACAAGAUUGGCUGAUCAAUUUAGUAGUCCAGUUGAAAUCUUUCAAAAGUAUGUGAAAGACUAAAGUCAAAGUAAAUAUGGAUUUAGAAUAGUAGUUAUAUUUUACUAACCAAAUACCGAAAAAAACCGAACCGAACCGAAACCAACCCGAUAUCCGGAUUGAACACCCGUAAUCCAAAUGAAGCCAAACUAUUGUUUCAUUCUCCAAAAUAUAAUAAAAAUAAUAACUUAAUUCCGCGCAAGGCGCGGGUCUUAUCCUAGUGUAUCGUUAAAAAAAAAGGCAUUCAACACGUAUAGUAAUAAUUAAUGAAAAACGUUCCCUAAAUUAUUGCGUGAAUCUUAGAUUUUGGUUGACAAAUUAUUCAUAUCCCAAAUUGGACAAAUAUUGAAAAACGUUCUCAAUUAAUCCCUAAAUUAUUGCUCACAUAAUCGUAGUCGACGAUCUAUUUCUAUAUAUUUUCCUUAUUUGCACCAUAUUCAUUUCCGUCUUCACUAAUUUCGGGAUAACAAUCAUGUGAGCAUAUAGAAAGUGCAAAACACUCAACCAAUCACGUGCGCCCUCAAUAAAAUUUAUGCUUGAAAAAAUUUCGCCUACAAUUUGAUCAUAUUAGUUUCCUUAUAUGUCCCAAGUAAUCACAUCAAUUCAAAAUAUGAACCUACUGAAUUUUCAAAAUCAUUGUCAUCUAGCUCUUAGUGGUAAAACGGAUCUAUGCUAUCAUUUUCUAAGCAGCAGUAUCACGUAAGAGAUUGACCGUGGUUAAUUAUGGAUAUAAUUUAGGUGUCUACCAAAUAACCCAAAUUAAUAUCUUGCUACGCAUCAUAUAUAUAGAAUUUGCAAUUCUAACAUAAUGCCUGUAACUUACAAUUUGAAUAAUAAAAAUAUACAAAUACGAUAUAUUUAUAUACAAAUUUAUAAUUUAUUUAUAUAUUAUAUCACUGAUCCUUUUAUGAUACUUUGUUUUUAUUUACUAUUAAUAAAUCAUGGAAAAUAUGACUAUUUAUUUUUAAAACAAUUUCAUGUCAUAAAUUUAGCAAAUGGAUAUUCAAAUCAUUUUAGGUGACUUUAUGUUUGUUUAGUCAUGUUUAUUAAAUAUUUUUUUGUCAUCUUAUAAAUUAAUUAAUAAUAUUAUACAUUAAUAUAUCUAAAUCGGUCUUUUGUCAUAUUUUUAUAUUUGUUUGCUUAAUCAAUAUAACAUGAAUUAUUUUUUUUCAUGUAUAUUAGUUAGUUAUUUCAAAUUUAAGUUUUAGAUUAAUGAAUUUAAAAAUCGUGUAUGUUUUAUAAACUUUUAUUUGAAAAAAUAAUAAAUGCUAAAACAGGAUCACUCUUAUUUGUUACCCUCAUAAUACCGUAUCCAAUUGUCUGCCCUAUUGACCAAGUAUAUGGAAUUUAUCUUUUUUUUUUUUUUUUACAUAUGGAAUUUAUCUACUGUGUCAAAAGGAGAAGGGUAAAUCAAAAUACGAACAUAGUAACAAUGAUGUAGAAAUAUAAAAUUAUUUAUUCAAUACCAGCUAGGAUUUUCUUCCACCGCCUAAACCUAGCAAACCGGUUGGAUCCAGUGAAAAGAACUUCGUUAUCGUGACCACAGCCCAAAGCGACGUCGUUCACCUAACCUUCCUGUUGGUUUCAAACGUCACCGAAGGUGAAAGAUCCGUAACUUGGUAGAGACAUUUGUCUGGGCGACAAGCGGAGACUUCUAGAUUAGCGCACUGUGGAAGUGAAAGAUCUGAACGUCCGGGUCGGAUUGUUGGUAACAGUCGGAGCAAGGUUGGCAUUGGAUCCAGUUAAUACUUAAUACCCUUUAUGAUGAGAAAAAUAAAAAAGAAAUUGCUGUGGUUAUAAAAGCUACGUACGUCAAUAAUCUAAUUGCAUUAACAUGUUUCUCACUGAGGAUAAGGAAGAGCCUCUGAUCAACAUGUUUCUCACUGAGGAGAUAAGAAAGUACAUUACCCCCAAGGAGAAUCUUGUUGGGAAGAAGAUAAACAUAUGUUUGGAACAGAGAGAGUUUACAACACUGUGAAGAUGGAGCUAGAGACGUACAUGGACUAUGCGAUGAUGAUUGGAACUUAGCACAAAACCUUAUAGUCAACAGGUGUGACCCGUUUGCCUACAAGCCGGUGCUUAACAAGAGCUUCCUGAUGAUAGAAACGUAAGGUGGGGAAACAACUUUCUAUGUUUUGUAAUCCAUUUGCUUGUCUUUUGCUUUAUUUUGAAACCAAUUGUAACAUUUCCAGUUAUGUUUGACUUUAACUAGUUGAGUUGAAAGUGGCCAAAAAGGACAUUCAUGGAAUAUUAUAAUAAAAACCAUAAGCAUCAGAUUUUAAGUUACAGAACCAAUGGUGCAAACUACCAUCAUUCACCUCUAACACCAUUUUCUCAGGUGAUAAUGCCAUCAUCUACUCUAAGUUAAAAACAGAAUGGACUUACCUAAUGAGAAAAAAAAAAAAAAAAAAAAAAAAACACUAACCCAAGUGAAUUGGCAUUUUCAACUUGGUACUAGAGACAUGAUUUGAGUCUUGAUUCGUCCCAUACACAUUUGGAUUUCUCUGUAGAUCGGUAGAUUCUGGGGGCAUCGAGGCUGCAAGCUUGUGACUGCUGUGUCCAUAAGCUGCGCUACAUCAGCUGGAGGGUACUGCCUCUCCGUGCACAUCUGCAAGUCACGAGAAAAGCAAAGUUCAAUGUCUUACUAUGACAAUGCAGUUUGACUCAGUUUUAGGAUGAGUGAUACUUCCAAGCAAUUUUUCCAUUACCUGAAUCAUGAUCCAAGUGGCAACACAGGACGUGAUUAACUCUGAAGGCAUUUGAGCCUCUUUUUUCUCUGAACCAUUUUGUGAGAUCGAAUCGUUGUUAGCCAUAGGCUUUGAUGCGUCUGAGGGAGAUGGGUUGUGAUGAUGAUGCUCAAUGCUGCCACUUGCGUUCUCUUCCUGUUUGACUACUAUAGAGCUGCGUAACGGCUGAUGUUUGCCAAUCAUGUCUAAGGCUUCUUGGAUCAUUUUGAUGGCAUCUUCUCCUUCCUUCACAGAUGAUGCAGCCUAGAACCGUAGAGUGAUAACAAAUCAGCAAAAACAUAUGUAAUGUUACAAGAGAAUAUAUAAAAGUGGCUGAAUCAAUACCGUAAUAGCUGCAUCCACCAUUGCUUUCGCUCUUGUCUUUGAGACCUUGACAAUUUCUAGCAUCUCUGGCUCCAUUUCCUGUCACACAGCACAAAUAUAAGCUAACUAACGUUAAUCAGAAGGUAGAGUUUCCGUGGGCGACACAAUAUCUACAACUAUGAACAAUUCGAGAUCAGUAGUUCAUUACCUUUUCAUCUAAAGCAUGCUGUAGAGCAAGUGCUCGCUGAAUCUCAGCUUCUCGUCCUUUGCUAUAAUCUAUGAUACAUGACUGAUUAGUCUGAUGUGGGAUACUAGUGUCGGUUGAUACUUUACCAUGCAGAAUAGGAGCAUUCAUAUCACCCUGUAGACAAUUAAUGGGUCAGGCAAACAUUUUAAGCAUUUGACUCAGAAAUAGUCAAAUCCAUCUCUCUCUACCUGAUUCAGAGAAUGACUCAUGGAACAGUCAGCAUUUUCAAGUCCAUAUGGAGGGAAAAUAGCAGAUAAACCAAGGUUUGGAUUCCCAUUUUGUUGUGCUUCUUUCUUCAUGGAUAAACACUUAUCAAUCUGCCUCCUUAGACCUUCUGGCAUGUAUUCCAAUGGAUUUGAAGGCAUGCAAUCAAUGUCCUGUUAAGAAAAAAAACAAUGGUUCAACGACUGAGACCUUAUCAUCAAUAUAUAAUAAAAGAUUAAUUACCUUAACUAACUCAACGCCCAAGUCAUCGAACAGAACAUUGCAUUGAUUAUGGUCAACAGUGAGAAUUUUCCCAUCAUGAAUCUCUCGUGUUAUGGGAUGGAUGGCAAUGACUCUGUUACCAACUGCUAAUGGCCGAGCCAAAUCUGUAGGAAGCCCUUCCCUAGCACCAGUUCGAAGCUCUGUGUAAUGCUUUCUCACAGACUCACGGUACUGCUUGAGUUUCUCCCUCUCUUCCUGUAAGAAUCUCUCAGAGAACCUUCGAGCUCUACCAAGAGAGCUACAAAAAAGAAGAGUAAGCUUUAAAAUCUACAAAUGUUCUCUCAAUAACAAAACUUGAACAAACCUUUUAAUGACACUCCAUUCAAGACGAGUGAGUCUUGGAACGUGACCAAGUCCCACGUGAUUUAAGUAAUCGACGAACACCAUCUUUGCAAACCAGGGAUGGUCGAUAGCACUAUAAAACCACUCAAAUAUGCACCUUCGACGUGCCAAGGGAUACGACAUAUAAGUAGAAAGCUCAUCCUGAAAAUUGGAAUUUAAAAAAAUAUCAGAACCAGAGUUUGAAUGCUUUCAUAAGAGAAGUUGAAGUUAGAGGCUACUCCACCUUUAAUAACAACUCCUGUUCUGAAAGAGAUCUGGAACUACGAGGAACUUUAUGAACGGUUUCAGAAGAUUUAGCUCUUUCUUGUAAGCUUUUCUUCAGACUCGCCUUACGCCUGUUUGGAGGUUUCUGUGGUGGUGAAGUGGCUGGACAUGAAUCAGAAUCUUGUUUAGUUGACACUACUACAUCCAUAGCAGAAUGUUUCUUAUCGCUCAUUGUAGUAGAUUCCUCCAACUCCUUAGCAGUUUUCAACUGUUUUGACUGAGAGGGACCUUGACCAGUGCGUUUUGUUCUAAGAUAGGACUUCAUAUUAUGGUUUUCUUGAGCUAACUCCUGUCACACAAUAAACCAAAUUAUAUGUCAAGGAUCUCUAACUUGAUUCAAAGGAUAGUAAUCACAGAUCACAGAGCCUAACUAAGAUUAAAAUUUAAUGUACAAAUGAAGCAAUAUAGAGAUACCUUUUUGUUUAUGGAUUUGUUCUGAGAAGAAUCAGGUGGUGAUUCAUCUCCUAGCUUCUGAAAAUUAAAAACAAUUCAUAUGUUAAGCUAAAAAGAUGAAAAAGAAAAGGAGAUUAAAAGAAUUAUCUUGCUACCUUUGGUUUGCGUUUUCUUCUUAAACUAGCACUAGUAGGUUCCGGCUGUAGCUUCCCAGCAUUACAAUCAGUUGAAGCUUGCGUUGAAGGUUUUGGUUUUCUAUUGUAAACAGCAUUCCCAAUAGCAGAGAUUGCAUGUAGCAGACUCUCAUCUGGUUCUGAAUUUGCUUUUUCCCCAUGACUGCUGGUGGACGUGGUAGCUUCCGGUGAGCUAGGUUUCUCGUCCAUGUCGUUUUCUAUUCUCUCUUCCUUCACCUGAGGAGAUGAUUCUGCAACCCAACGCAAUAUAGUAAAAUUAAUAAAAAGUAAUGGCAGGCUCUUCUUUUUUAACCCAAUCUACAUACUCAUUGCCAAAAUAUAGAAGGAAAAAAACAUAAAAAUUCAGGUAUAUUCAACCAAACAUAGCUCACCUGAUUCCAUCAAUGCUGAAGGAAGAAAUGAAGCUGAUAAUUCAGCUAAAGCUUGCAGAGCAUCAAAUUCAUCUACACAUGAAAAAUACAGGCAAUAAGUUUCAGACUCUGAAGAAGACGGUGAUACUUAUUUUAAAAUGGGCAAUGCAGGACUAAUAAAUAUUCAAAUCUCACAAUAGUAAAGCUGUAAACGAAAAAAUAUGUAAGAGCCUAUAAUAGAUGAUAACUACUUCCAGCUUUCCUGAUAGAAAGAGAUAACCAGUGUUCUAAAAAUCAGAUUUUUUCAACUUCAACAAUUGAUCAGACUCCUACUAAAUAAUAAUUCUCUAUAAAGGCCUAACAACCUUUAGCGAUUUCUAGAACAUUGGGGAUAACACUGGAACAUAUUUUUGGAAGUUGUAAUGAGGCAUCAAGUUAAACUAUUACUGGUUAUUACCUCCGGAAGUAAGUUUGUUAUCUAUGUUCUUUGGGCUGCGCGGUGAAUAUGUCCCUCUUGAGGCUUCACGACCAGCCUUUCGUCUCUUUGAUUUAACUCUGAGCCCCUCAGUAGCACUGCUUGCUCCUCCGUUGUCAUCAGAAGAAUCACCCUCUGCUUCUUCGACUUUUACUCUCUUCUUGUAGACCCUUUUCCCCUUCCGUGGAACCUCCAUUUCCCCAACCUCUUCCAUAUCAGAUUCACGCUUCUUUUCUCGGCUACUUCCCACCCAUGAUUGAGCUUUCCUCGUCCGUGACUAGUCAAUGCACAAAGUUAAGUUCAGUAAAUCAAGAUUUGGCAGAAAAAUAAAUAAAAGGAUAACUGCUCAGGAGUUACCAUUUUCUCCCAGUUCUUUAUUGGUGAGUUGUCGCUGAGGUCUUUUGGAGACCCUCCUCCCCUUCUGGAUGCUUCUAUUAAUGCUAACUCUAAAUAACGCUCAACAUCAUCAUUGGCAUCACGUUGUUGCUUUCUGGCUCUUUUAUUUGGUGGAGUAGAGCCUUCCCCAUCAUCCCGUGAAGUCUGUACAGGAACACGAGGUGUACGUUUGCCAGUGGCACGUCGAUGAGUUCCUACAUGAAUUACCAAUCAAAUUUACACAUUCUUGAACGUAUUGAUUUGGCUUCUUCAGAAGAGAAUAAUAUUUAGGAGAAUGAUGAGUUAGGCACUUUACCAUUACCUCGUGCUUGCUUCAAAAACUUGAGACAUCCGUCAGUGGAGGACGCAACUGGAUGAUCUCUAUCAACUUCCUCUCGAGAAUCACUAAGCUGAGGCUUUGCACGUUUGCGCUUUUUCUCUUUCUUCGGUGUUUCUGAAACAUCAGGGCCUUCUCCUUCACUGCCACUCCCUUCCUAGAAGAAAAUACCAUUAGAAUGGGAUACAAACCAGUCCACAGAACUUUCUUAAAUACAAAAACUGACCCCAACAGAUUAGCCACUCAUAGUUGUUUUACUCAUGUUUUAAAGUCUCACGUUAAUAACUAGAGGUUAACAAACCACAUUUUCAACCGGAAGAUUUCAUUUUAUCAUUGGUGUGCCAGGCAGCACGUAGUUAAAUAGAGUUCUCACCAUGACACUGUAAUGAUCGGUCAUCAUAGCAAUAAGGCCAGCUACAGAGGCAGUUCCUUCCGGAAGAGACAAAUAUGCCUGGAAGAAGAAGAAGCCAAGUUAUAUAGUUUUCACAUCAAAUACUAAUUAAAACUGAGAUACAAGAUUGUCUUGAAUCAUACCUUAUUCAUAUUAAAGAGAGCUUCCACCAUCUCAACAUUCCUGCUAUUCCGAAUAGCAGCAGCCACCUGGACAAAAAAAAAAAAAAAAACAGUCUUAAAGAACUCUAAUGCCAACUCAUGUGAUGUGAAAUAGAGACAGUUGAUUUUACCUUUCUCCAGUCCUGUCCGUACUUCCGGUAAGAGUCAUAGAACCGCUCAAGCUCUGCUUUGGUCCAUUGAGAUCCCAGCUUAUCAGACAAUUUCUUCUUCUAAACAAUAAGCAAAAAAAAAGGAUAGUUAAUACAUCACAGAGUAGUAGUAACACAACUGAUUAAAAAAUGUCAAGAAGAAUACUCACACGCAGCUUAUUCUCUCUAGAGCUCCUCUUUGGCGAGGGUUGUUCAUUAGUGAAACGCUUGUUCACACUCCUCGACUUCCUAACCGUCGGUGCCAUUUCUCUGAAACAAAGAUUCUCAAAAUAUAUUUAUAAAAAAAAAAAGACAACUUUACGAGACUAAAUCGAUAAUUAUUCACAAAGUCAGAAGCUUUGAGCAAGAUUUCGAGGAAACGAGUUGAGAAAUUUAAAAUUGAAACUCAAAAAAAUCGAAUCGAAACUCCUCAAAAUCUGAAACCGAUUCGCUCAGAAGAAGAAAAAAAACUACAAAAGGAAGUAGAUUCAAAACGACGUAGCUUUGGAGUGAAUAACUUAGACACGAGUGUAGAGAAUUCAAAACGGAAGAAAAAAGGAAAAACCUUUGAAAAACCCUAAAUCGAAGCAGAUCCAGUGACGAUUCACUUACCAGUUCCGUGUUAAUAGACGCCGAAACACAUAGAGAGAGAGAGAGAGCGCGAGACGAAGCAGGAGGUUUGAGAGCCUUUUGUUUCAAAAAGAGAGAUCGAUUAUAAAUUUCAAAUCGAGGGUUUUUGGAGAGAUAAGUAAUUAUUAAAAAAAAAAAAAAAAGGAGAGAGAGUGAUUGAUAUAAGGUGUUGCCGCGAAACUUGAACAGCCAAUAAGAACUCCCCCUACUCGUCAUUUUCAUCUUUUUUUCUCUUCCUUUAUUUUGUUUCUUGUGCAAUGUCUAAUACGAAGCCCAAUUUCAAAUUUAUGACAUAAAGGCCCAUCUUUAAUGUUCAAUACCCAACCUGAAGUUUGAGAGAACGUGUCUCCGCCACCCUUUGACCAUGUGGCUCCGCCACUGUGUGAAACCAAAAAUCUCUGUGAAGAAGAGAAUGUGUGGUGGGCUAAAAUAUAUAUAUAAGGUUGAAGGAAUGAGUCAAUAUUGGUUUAUGUGGACUAAGUCUAUGGCAAAUGGCACAAAGUACAAACCAUGGACCUUAUAGAAGUUUAAAGAUUUUGAACAAAUAAGCUCCAUAUGAUUUGAUGCAAGACUUGCAAAAGUCAAAUAAAAUCUUGACUUUUUUUUAUGAGAAUCAUAACUUGUUACUUACCACACAAAACGCAAACAAACCAAAAAAAAAUGGCAAUGAUGAUUCCAAGCCAAUCUUAUAGCUAUUCUUGUAUUGUAAUUUCCUUGUAUUAUUCCCUCUUCUUGAUUUCCUUCGUUCUACAUACUCUUGCUUCUCCUACGCUCCAUCAUUGCCAUCACAGCCAGAGAGAUGCUCUUCUCGAGUUCAAAAACGAGUUUCAUUCAGAUGCAGCGUUGCAUUCAUGGAACAAGAGUAGAGAUUGCUGUUCUUGGAGAGGUGUCACGUGCGAUGCUAAAUCUGGAAAGGUGAAUUCGCUUUACCUUGAUACCAUCUCUUUAAACAACUCUUUGAAACCAAAUAGUGGUCUUUUCAAACUUCAUCAUCUUCAUAACCUAUCCCUUAGAAACUGUAGUCUCCAUGGAGAGAUUCCUUCUUCAUUAGGAAACUUUUUACAACUCACACUUCUUGACCUUUCCCAUAAUUAUUUAGUAGGUCAAAUUCCACUUUCAAUAGGGAACCUUUCUAGUCUCAUAGUUCUUGAUCUUUGGGGUAACAAUUUAGUAGGUCAAGUUCCAGUUUCACUAGGAAACCUAACCCAACUAAGAUACUUGAUCCUCUCCCACAACAAACUAAAUGGCAAUAUUCCUGUUUCAUUUGCCAAUUUAACAAAGCUAUGUGAACUAUAUCUUCAAAACAAUUCCUUGGGCUCCACGCUUCCUGACAUGAGUGGAUUACACAACUUAGAGUAUUUUGAUGUAAGUGAAAAUUCAUUUAUUGGACCUUUUCCCACAUCUUUAUUCACAAUACCUUCUCUAAUAUCUGUUAACUUGGAGAGAAACCAAUUUAAAGGAGCUAUCAAGUUUAGGAAUAUGUCUUCAUCAUCUAGGUUUAAGUUUCUAAACUUUGCUCAAAACAACUUAGAUGGUCCAAUCCCUGAACUGAUAUCUCAAUGCCAUAACCUAGAAGAGUUACAUCUUAGUUACAACAAUCUCAAUGGGUCAAUACCAAAGUCUCUAUCAAAAUUAUUCAAACUCGAAUACUUUUGUCUUACCAACAACAACAUGGAAGGGGAAGUACCAAGUUGGAUAAGGAGAUUGACUAUGGUGGCAUUUUCUAACAACUCUUUCAACAGUUUUGGAACAUCAUCACAAGUUCUAGAUAAAACACAAGUCAAGUGGUUGGAUCUUAGCUCAAAUGCUCUCCAAGGACCGUUGCCUCGUUGGAUCUGCAAGCUUACAUCAAUAGAGAUCUUGAUCUUGUCCAACAAUCUACUCAACGGCUCAAUCCCUCCAUGUUUAAAGAACUCCACAACUUCUCUUACAGAUUUGGUUCUACGUAACAAUAGCUUCAGUGGGACACUUCCAGAUAUAUUUAGUAACGCCACCAAGUUAAUAUCACUUGACGUCAGCCGCAACCAGCUAGAAGGAGAGCUUCCAAAGUCCUUGAUCCAUUGCACUCGUCUUCAGCUUCUGAACGUGAGAAGCAACAGAAUCAAAGACACGUUUCCGUUUUGGUUGGGAUCUUUGCCGUCAUUACAUGUACUCAUCCUCAGAUCAAACAAGUUUCACGGACCGCACGUGUCUACAAAGUUCCAAAGCUUAAGAGUCAUCGACGUCUCGCAUAAUGACUUCACUGGAACUUUACCAACUUUCUACUUCUCCGAGUGGCUUGAGAUGACCACGGUGGGGGUUGAAGACGACAGCUUCAUGAUCUCUGACGUUCCUUACAUGGGGAAGGUGCUGAACGCUACCGCCUCGUACAUUAGCUCAAUGGAGAUAGUUAAUAAAGGAGUGGAGAUGGAGUUUAAGAGGAUCAACCAAGACUACAAGACCGUAGACUUCUCCGGAAACAGAUUCUGUGGGAACAUCCCUGAGUCUAUUGGACUGUUGAAGGAGCUGCGUCAUCUCAACUUGUCGGGAAACGCGUUCACAGGCAACAUACCACAGUCUUUGGGAGAUUUGACAAAGCUCGAGUCGUUAGACUUGUCCAAGAAUCAGUUGUCUGGUCAAAUCCCUCAAAAUCUUGGUGGUCUCUCGUUUGUGUCGACAAUGAACUUCUCUCAUAAUCUUCUUGAAGGACCAGUGCCGAGAAGCACACAGUUUCAAGGCCAGAGUUGCUCUUCCUUCAUGGACAACCUUAAACUAUACGGUCUUGAAGACAUAUGUGGAGAAACUCACAUGAAGAAUCCUGUAUCAGAAGUGCCAGCAGAGAAGGAAGAGCAAGUGGUUAACUGGAUAGCAGCGGUAAUAGCUUAUGGACCUGGUGUUUUCUGUGGAUUUGUGAUUGGACAUAUCUUGACUUCACGUAAACGUAAAAAUGUAGUAACCAAAAGUGUUUGUUAAAGACCUUCUCUUGUAGUUUUCUUACAUGUACUGUCAAAUUACGUUCACAAGCAGAGGCUAUAUAUGAUGUUAUAGCUGAACUGUUUCCUGUUAUGGUAAUGAAGGUUACUACAGCCUACAGAGCUUAUAAGAAUCCAAUUCCAGAGGGUAUAAAAUUUUAUUUUGGUAGCCGAAGAUAAAUGAAAAGAGGCUUAUUGUUUUUAUUUGGACAAAUCUACUAAAAACACCAUAAACAAGUUUUUAUGAACAAAAUAACACACAACGAAUAAAAUUACCAAAAUAAAUUUUAUUAAAAUAAAAAAACUAGUUACCAUUAACAAAUAAUACAUUUAACAAAAUUAAAUAUUUUAACAAUUAUUGUUUAAAAAAAUUAUAUUCUAAAUUCUAAAUCUUAAACCUUAAUCUUCAAACCUUAAACCUUUUUGUCAAAAAAAAACUAAACCCUAAAGUUUACAUUAAUUAAUCCAAAGAUCUAUGUAAACUUAUUUUUAUCAUUUUCUUAUGUUGUGUUAUUUUAUGAUAAAAACUAUAUUUCAAUUUUAUUUCAGUAGCUGAAGACCCUCUAAACGAGACAGAGGGUUAUUGUGUCGUCUCUUUCUCUUUAUGAUCCCCGUUUGAUAUCUUGGACAUGUGUCUGGUCAUCAGUUAACGCCUCUAAAAGUCUCAAAAACUCUUCCGAGGACAGAGAAGGGUAAGAGAGACGCAAUGGAAUGCUUCCGUGUAUCCCCUCCGAUUCCAAAACUCUCUUUCUUCUCCAACUCAAGAAACUCAACUUCUCAACGAUUCAUCAUCCCCAGUUGCAGAGAGAGAAGAAACAGAGAUGAACCACUCUCCACCUCUUCACCAUACUCCAUACUCGGCGUGGAGCCAAACUGCUCAUCUCUCGAGCUAAAAGCAGCUUUUCGCGCCAAAGUAUGAAUCCAAGAUUCAAAUCUCUUUGCUUUUCCUUUUUUCAUGUGUUGACUUACUUUGAGCUUUUGUGAAAGGUGAAACAAUACCAUCCUGAUGUAAACAGAGAAGGAAGCAGCUCUGAUGUUAUGAUCCGUCGCAUAAUCCAAGCUUACGAGGUACUAACAAACACUAGCAGAGCAGAGAUCAUUGAAGGGUACACACUCACUCAUUCAUAAUACACUUUCUCUUAAUACAAAAAAAAAACAGAAUAAACCAAGUAAUGUGUUUUUUUUCCUGUACUAGAGAAUGUUUGGACCCUUUUGAUAAUCCAGAGUGUGAGGCGCUUGAUGUGUUUGUGAACGAGGUCCUCUGCUUCGGAAAAAGUACAGAACUUUCCUGUGGAUUGAGCUUUUUUUUUUUUUUUUGCUCUGUUUCUUCUUGAACAUGUGUUUCUGUCUUAUUGUAGGAUGUUCGUACCCAUGUUUUAAGACAGCAUCUCAUGUCUUUUCAUGUGAUUCAACUGGAACAGCUAGAGCAAUGUCUCAAGGUGUGUAUCCUUCUUUUGUUUCCUUUGUAUUCGCCUUCUACUUAUAGCUUCUAAUAGUGUAUAUGUGACCAGGGCGUGGAGAAGAUUACCGGGUACAAUCUGCAGUUAACCAGUGUCCUAGAAGUUGCAUACAUUAUGUCACACCUUCCCAGAGAAUUAUUCUAGAAGAGUUACUAGACAGGUAUCUGAUUCAUUCUCUCUAUCGUCCCUCUUGAGAUAUUCUAUGUGCUUGUGAAUGUUCACUAACAAAGUCACAUAUCGUUCAUAUUUCCACAGUGUUUUGGACAAACCUUAUGAUUGUUCUGCGGAGGCAGAGUUGCUCUAUGCUCUUAUAGUCAAAGCUCAGUUUGAGAACAACCGGUACAGGAAACCAAAGAAGAAACAACCUGAAUCUUCAAGCAAACAUGUAGACUGGCUCUGAAGCUAGAGUUAAUCCGAAUUAGUAAUUAUAUCUUCUUUAGCAAAAUGCAUUCUUGACAUGAAUGAAUCUGUAACAGCUCCUUCCAACUGGAAAAUGAAAACAAAAGCUAUCAAAAUUUGUAUACAAUAAGAAGUGUUACUAAUACUAUCUCAUUGAAAAGCUGAAAUCUAUACCUACAUGUUGCCCAGACACAGGUCUAAACCUAAGCCCAGGCCCAAUAUGUCGCUUUAAUUUUAGACCUAAGUCUUAUAAAGUGAAAGUUAUAUAUACAUCAGCUAUAUGCUGAUACUGUAGUUAUAGCCACUAAAUUAUUUGGCCUUUUUAAAGUAGCCGUUACGUGUAAAAUAGACCGUUGAACGAAAAUUAAAUUAAAUAAUAAAAGUAAACGAAAGAUCCGUUACGAAAGUAAACUCUUUUAUCCGCUCUCCUCUCUCUCAUUUCCCGUGUCUGUUUGACUUUACGUUCCGACAAUCACCAGUAUCAGACAGAAGCAGAGUUCGAAGCGGAGAGAUUCUUUUUCCUGUCUGAAUGUUAAAAAAGUCUAGAAAGAGAGAGAGAGAGAGAGAGAGAGAGAGAGAGAUAGACAGAUCUGGGUUUCUAGAAGCCAAAGAGAGAAUUCAAGUCAAAGAGUAUAGGAAGAUGGUUGCAAGAACCCCACAAAAGCAGAGGAGAGUGGCGAUGGUGGCGCUUCCUCCUCUCAACUCAGAACUUCUCAAGGAAACAAUCAACAAGGUAUCUUCUUCAUCUUGGUCCAGUUAAAUAGACAUGAUUAGAAUAAAGUUUACGACUUUGUCCCCUUUUAAUUUAAUUCUUACCAAAUUUUGCAAACGCUCCUUCCCAUUAUAGCUUGAAACUUUACUUAAUUAGUACACUAAUUGAAACCCACUGCUAAUAAAAUUGUCUGUGGGCCCCAAGUUCUAUCUUUUAACUGAUUAUAAGUAGUGUGUUUUCAGUUGAAUUGAUUUGCUGUAUUGCAAAAUGAUCUUAUGUUAGUUUCCAUUGAUCAGAUCUUGUUGGUCCAUUUUCUCUAUUAAUAACAUUGGAGGGCCUUUUGGCUGAUUUUGUCAAUUUUGGUAUGAUAUGGUGAAAGGUAGAUAAAUGUAUGGAAAGACUGCAAGAGCUGCAGUACACAAUAGCAGGAGGAACCAAAGUUGUCUCUGGUGUGAACCUUAGCCCUAGAAGCACUAGAAUUUAUUUGAAGACUAGCCUUAGAUGCAAGCAAGAAACCUUAAGGUAAACAUCCAGAAAAAAAAAAAAACUCAAACCCUUUUUUACUUUUUAUAGAAACAUCUAUGUUGAUCCAAACACAGAAACUUCAUUUAUCUCCCUUAUUAUUCAUUUUUGUUGUAGGAUCAAGAAUGCUACUAACAAGAAAUCUCCAUUAGGAAAGUUUCCAGCUUCCUCACCAGGUAAAAUCUCUAUUCCCUCUCUCACACACACAUUCAUUAGGCAAAGAUACUUGUGUGUGUUGGAGAAUUUUGAUUAAAAGAUGCUUCAGUACCAAGGUUACAAUUAUUGUAAAAAAUGAUUUUUUUUUCUGAAUUAAUUUAGCAUUCAUUAAAAAAAAAAGAAUUUUGAUUAAAAUUAUCCUAUUUGAUGGAUUCUUGGAUCUAAAGUUUCUGUAUUUCAGUAAUGUAUAAUGUAUUUGCCAAUGCAGGAGACUGGAGGAAAAUGUCACUACCUGCAAUGCUACUAGGAGAGACAGUAAACGAAAUCUUACAAGCCUCACAGGUCACUAGAGACAUUGUAGACGCCCUUGCACCAAAGAAGAGUAGAAAGUCAGAAGAAGACGGUUGCCCGAAGACACCUGAGACUCAACAGAAAUCACUGGAACCAAACCCUAAAACUGUCAGCAGUAAUAUCAAAGCGAGAAGGAAGAAAGAGAAGCAGAAGAACAAACGUUCAGAACCAACUUCUCCUGCUUCUAUACAUAAGGCUCGUUCAAGAAUUGUGUUCAAGAUUGUCUCUCCACAGACAAAACCAGAGAAGAAGGCUCAAGUAAAAGGGGAUGGUGAGAAUAGUUUUAGGCAUUUGGCUAAUAGGGUUUCGCCAAAGCACAAACCUUGGGUUAAAAAGGCUGUUCUUUUCCCUAACCCUUUGUUUAUCUCCGGUUCCUCUACACAACAAGCUAAGUUCAGUAGAACUAUGUCUCCUGUCAUAGCCAGAAGCAACAAAGAGACGCCACAGAAGUUCUUGAUCAGGUCUCCUCCUUCCACGUCAGCAUCAAAGUUUCAGGUCAAGAUCAAGAGUCCACCUAAAGUCUCGGUUUCUCCUAACAGAAGCAGAAGUAACUUGGCUCGCAAGUCACCGACAAGAAGUGUAACCUUGGAAAAGAAGUCUCCAAAGCUAUAUACAGCUGCAAAGAUCAGAAGAUCAUUCACUCCUACGAGAAAUGGAAGUAACGUGUCACGCAAGUCAUCUGUUUCUCCAAAGAGAGUCACGCUUCAAGCAUUUAUAUCUCCAUCAAGAAAUGGUGGUGACGUGGGCAAGAAGUCACCAAAGCCUUCGAUUUCUUCGACUAGAGUGGGCAAGAAGACAUCAACUGCAGCAAAGCUGAGGAGGUCAUUUUCGCCAUCAAGACUAGCGAUGAGGCUGGUGUCUCCACUGAAGAGCAGGAAAAGUGUUGGGAAGUGUGAUGAUCAUGAUGAGAUGGGGAUGAUGGUGAGCGGCUUGAAACAGCGUCCUGUUAUAGUUCCUAAGAGGUUCUCGAUGGGGAGAAUCUAAUAAGAGAGACUUUGAAAUGAAAUAAGAUACCUUUUUAGUACAAAUAAACUUUUUUUCUUUUAUCAGUUGAUCAAAUAGCAAGUUGAAGACUUUUAUAUCUUUUAUCAGAUGAUUAAAUAGUAAGUAUUGAAGAUAGAAGACCUCUAAUAAGAGUUUUAGAGUGUGAUUGGUUACAUAGGGGAGUAAAAGUGGGGAAAAUAAAGUAGAAAUAUGAGGUAUGAAAAUUAAUAAAUCUAGAGUGAACUUUUUCAUUUCAUAAAAGGUUGAGAGAAGAUUUACUCUUUUUUUUUUUUUUGUAACACGAGAAGAUUUACUCUAUUUUUACUAUUUUCUCACUUUUUAGAAUAAAUGAACUGAAACAAUUUUUUAUUCAAUUGACUGAAAUCAGUGUAAGUGAGAUGACAUAAAAUAAAUUUUCAACUAUUUUAUUUUAUUUUAAAUAUGUCAUACAGGCACACCUUUAGUGUGUGAAGAAGUAUAGACGAGUGAAAACAUAAAAUCAAUCAAGUGUGUGGUAUUAGAAAAAAAAAGAACAAAAAAAGCUUGCAAUAAUAUAAUUAUUAUCGUUUAAUCACUAUGUUUAAAGUCCUUUAUUACUAAUUUUAACUAGUUUAAUAAUUACUUAUUCUUGGGUUCACUCCCUAGGGUGAACCUGUAGGUUCACCAACCAAUAAGAUUAUGUUAUUUCAAAUUUGAUAUCUUUUAUAAAAGGAAACAAAAUAUUGUCAAGUUAUAUUAUGUUUUUAAAAUAAAAAGAUAAAAAUUAAAAAUAAAAAUUGUAGUAAUUACAAAAAAUAUUUUUAACGUCGUCAGAAAAAAAAACUAAACCCUAAAUCCUAAUCCCUAAACCCUAAAUUCGAAACCCUAAACCCUUGGAUAAACCCUAAACCCUUGGAUAAAUCAUAAACACUAAAUCAAAAACACUAAACACUAAAACAUUCAAGGGUUUAUGAUUUUUGUGUUUAGUGUUUUUGAUUUAGAGUUUAUGAUUUAUCCAAGGGUUUAGGAUUUACCCAAGGGUUUAUGAUUUACCCAAAGGUUUAGGGUUUAGGGAUUAGGAUUUAGGGUUUAGUGUUUUGCUGACGACGUUAACAAUAUUUUAAAAAAAAAUCUUUUUUUUUGUAACUAUUAUUUUUUUUUACCUUUUUAUUUUAAAAACGUAAUAUAACUUAACAAUAUUUUGUUUCCUUUUCUAGAAGAUAUCGAAUUUGAAAUAAUGAAAUCUUAUUGGUUGGUGAACCUAGAGGUUCACCUUAGGGGGUGAACCCAAGAAUUACUCUUUAAUAAUAUAAUUCUAUCACAAGUUGGAAAAAUGUUGAACGAACUUUCCAUGCAACUUUGUCUAAAGUUUGGCUACCAAUUAGGCAAUUGCUUCAUUUUGCUUUUUUCAAGUUAUCACUUCUCGGUUUAUCUCUUGCCUUUUUCAUGACACAUAAAAGCAGUGAAGAUGAAAUUUGAUUAAUACUUCCUUAUUAUCAAUUUGGUAUGUUCUUCCUUCUUUAAAUAACUUUAGGUCUCUAAUUGUGUAAACAUGCCUCUUUGAGUUUCUUGCAAGUUCAAAUGUCCCAAACAAAAUGAUUUUGUUCAGAUAGAUUCAGUCUCCUAGUGAGAAAAUAAGAAAGCAAACCUUAACAUAUAUUUGGCUCGAGCCUUACUACUAUGUACGUAUGCAUGUUUCAACUUGAGUUUUAGGAUUCAGACGUAGAUUGACCACAUGGUUCUAUAAACCAGGCUGUGAUUAAUCCUCCAAAACAAAACAAUCACGGGUCCCACUCCCACAAAAAAAAAACCCUACAUACACAAUAAUACACACGUAACUUUCUCUCAAAGCAAAGAAUCUAAAGUUGCAAAACUUUUAAAAGAAAGCAUUCAACUUUGCUUCUCCCACUCCACUUACAUUCCCUGUGCUUCCUCAAGCCAAGAACAACCAUAGAGGUUUUCAAAAGCAUUCUCAGUUUCGGUUUCAACACAAAAAUGGAAACUUCUAGCAACUCCACCAACUCAUCGCUCUUUCAAUGGUUAGGUCUUAUAGAAGACUACGAUCAGCCUUCUACUUCCACCCUUCCUCAUGUCAUCACCCUUCUCGCCUCAGUUCUUACGAAGAUGAUUCAAAAGAACGAAAAGCCAUUCCACACAAGACGCAACAAGUUCAGUUUAUUCAAUAUGUAGAAAUGAAAUUUCUCUAUCCUCUCCGAUCUCUCAUGUUUGAAUCUCCUUUACGAUCAACAGGGACGAAGAGAUCACUAUGUUCCAUGGCUCAAGAUCACCCUCCAUGAACAUCCAACGUUACACAGAGAGAGUCCACAGGUACGCUCGGUGUAGCCCUGCGUGCUUCGUUGCAGCCUUUGUUUACAUCAUUAGGUAUCUAGAAAUACCAGUGGCUACAAGCACGACUCGUCGUCUCACGUCACUUAACGUUCACCGUCUUCUCAUCACCAGUCUCUUGGUCGCAGCAAAAUUCUUGGAUCGCAAGUUAGUAUCUUCUUAACUAGCUAGACCUAAAAUUUUCGUAGUCUAUUUGCUUAUAAUUCGAGCCUGUUAUCUUGUUUUUUUAUGGAGUUUAGGUGUUAUAAUAAUGCUUAUUAUGCGAAAAUUGGAGGAGUUAGCACUGAAGAGAUGAAUAGGCUAGAGAGAACGUUCUUGUUCGAUCUUGAUUUCAGAUUAAAUAUUACAGCGGAGAUGUUUGAGAAACACUGUCUCAUGUUGCAGAGACAAACGGUGCCUUGUGGUUCAAGAAGACUUAGAACCGCUCUUGAAGAGAUGACUUGUGGCUGCCAAGCGAUCUAACAAAGCCCAUAAGAUUUGCUUAGUUCUUCUUUUCUUCUGUACCACGUUUUAAAACUAAUAAUGUAUUUUCUCAUGAUUAAUUGAAGAAAUAGAUCAAUGUAAACUAGUUAAGCUUGCAAUCAAAACAUGUCUUUUCUUGAUAUCGAUCCAUUGAGAAACAUGGCGAUAAAAAAAUUAAACUUGGGCUACUAAAUGUUGGUCUGAGUCAUAUCCUUCUAUUUAUUGUUGGGCCAAACCUGACCCAAAGAUCAUUAGCAAAUGCUAUUAUUGUGUAACGGAUAUAUGAAUAAGAAUAUUGCAGCUUAACAACACAUUUUGCAUAUUUUUGAUAGUAUUAGAACUUUGGAUUACUACUAGAGAGAAACCAGAUCUUCUUUUGGGUCCGGCGGACAGGCGGCGCGUGAGCGUGCGUGCCGUCGCUGGAGCCCCUCAAGCUACCGUUUCAGCCUUCGAUUUCGCUUUGCUCUAGUCCCCUCUCUCUUCCGCCUUGCCUGAGCUCUGGAACAAGGCCGCAUGUGGCGAUUCUGUUUCUGGCGUAAGGGCGCGGUCGUAUUGAGGAAGGCGCGGUGAAGCCCCUUGUUCGGCUUUUUGGUUUUACCUCCGGGAGGCGGAGGCUCUCCUAGCUUCGUCGACGCCGGUUCCUGUCCCCGAGAGGUGGAGGCUUCGUCAGCUCUGUCCUCGUCAGUCUAGAUCACGGGGGGUGAAGGCGUUUCAUGCCUUGCCUCGCCGUCUGGUGUUUCCCUAGUUCCGUUUUAGGGUUCGUCUGUUCUUUCCUUUUAGUUUUACGUUUUUGGUUUGGGUUGGAUUGGGUGACGACGACGUCGGAGGACGAUCGAAGCUCGACCUUGGUUAACGAUAAUGGUUCGCGUGAAGCCUUCCUCUCGGUGAUUGUAAUGAAUGGUGACGGAUGAGAUCUCGAACAGUCGAUUGAUUCUCUCUGGAUUGGGUUUCACUUGACUUGAAGACGUUUGCGGUGAGAUGGUGUGGAGUCAGUGAGUUCCGGUGGAUCCGGGUGAAUCGACGGUUGGUUACCCGGUGGUCUUUCGAAACGAGGACGACGUCGGAGCCGCAGCGUUUGUCCGCGCGGCGGCGGAGUCUCGUGGAGCCUAGGGUUUUCGGUGUUGGGCCUUGGAUCCGGAAUCUUAUUUUAAUUUUUGGUCCGUCUUUCUUGGGCUUAUGUAUGUUGGACUAUGGGGUUUUUUAGGCCCGUUAAUCAAAUUUCUAAUCGAGGGGAAAAAAAAAAAAACAACACAUUUUGCAUAACUACAAAAAUUAUUUUUAUACUAUAUAAUAAAGCCUCUUCCACGGUAUUGCUCUUGCGUUUAUGACGGCUACGGGUGGGGACUAUCGACUAUUACGCAUAUGAACACGGUGGAUAAAUGUAAUGCCGUAUUAGAAAAUCAUGCGUUGAAUACGGCGUGACACAUUCGAAAACAAUGAUAGUUUCAGGACGUUAACUAUAAGCUCGUAAAUUUAAACAGAACGCGUGACAUUAGAAAAGUAUAUAUUCCACCAAACUCUAACCAUUUUAUUCAAAUAUUAAAUUCAGUCUUUUACCUAUAUUCACAAGAUUUGUCGUUUAAACUUUCGCUUUUUGCACUUUUCUCCGUGAUUCUGCUCUGUUCUGUUCAAGAACCUUCCUCACCUCCCGUCUAUCUCAAUAUUUUCAAAUAUACAAUCUCUUCUUUUUUUUAAACAUCCCUUGAAACCUCAGUUUGCAUAUUCUUCUUGUCAGUGGCUACGAUUGGCUGGAUUCUAUUUAUCUGACAUUUUUCUAAUUAGCCUUUUUGGAUUCUCUCUUUGCUUUGCUUCAAAGCUUUCUCCCAAAAACACCCUAAUAAUCCGUGAUUAGAGCGAUUUAUCGUAAUUUUGUUUUAAUUUGUCUAGUAAUCACGAUACUGGCAGAUUAGGCAAAAACAAAAAUCAGAAAUUAAAAGUAAGGUAGGUCAAAAUUCUUCCUCUCGUCUAGGGUUUUAUUCCUUCUGAUUAUUAGCCUAUUUAGACCUAGAAAAGAUGCGAUUUUUAUUUAAUCCUGAUCAUUAAAAUAGAUUCAAAAUCGAUCAUGCAUGUUAAUAUGUUAUGUUCUGGGACCGUCCCAGAUUUUGAAUAAAGUUUCAAUCUUUUAGGGUUCUUAUCUCUUCAAUGCAUACUCUGUUUUUGAUUCUUGCAGGUUUCUAACGUCGUCGACUCAGACCAAGAUUUUGAUGUUGGAGAAGAAGCUGAAUCUGAAGUGAUUAACAAUGAAUUCUCAGUUUAGUUCCAAGAAUCUAAGACUCUUUUCAAAAUCUAUCACUUGCAAAUGCCUUGUUCUUGUUGGCAUUGCUCUGUUCUUCAGAGCUCUGUCUCUCUCUUACUCCACCAGAAACAGUAGCUUCUUGUUUCGAGCCCGUUACAUGUCAGAUUCCUCCUCAACAGCCCACAAGUUCCUCGAGGUUCCUCAGAUCGUAUGGGGACUAAACAACCAGAAGAUAGCUUUCGCAAGAGCUUGCUUGACCGCAAGAACCAUGAACAGAACGCUUCUCAUGCCUAGCCUAAGCGCUUCCUUGUUCUACAAGGAAGUAGACAAGCUCCGUCCCAUCCCCUUCGAUAAAGUCUUCCAGUUCCAAAGAUUCAACUCUCUCUGCAAAGGGUUCGUGCGGCUCGCUCGGUUCUCCGACGUUAGAAACAGAACACAUUCUUUUGACCUAGAGAAAGGCAGUGGAAGGAGGUGGACAGUGGAGAGAGACUUGCAACAGCUGAAACAGUCCGCAACUAAUGAGUUUGAAGUGGUCCGUGUCGUAGGAAAGAACCCUUUCUUGUGGCAUGAUCAUUGGCCUGUUAAGGACUAUGCUAAGGUCUUUGAGUGUAUGGUUGUGGUCGAUGAGAUCUCGAGAGAAGCAGAUAAAGUGGUGACGAGAAUCAGACAAGGAGGGGGAGAUAAUAGAAUCAGGACGGGUCUUGUCCCUUUUGUUGCGGUUCACAUGAGGAUAGAGAUAGAUUGGAUGAUACAUUGUAAGAAGCUAGAGCAAAGGCUAAAGGUUUCAGAGAUUUGUAGUAGCAAAAGAGAGAUCAUGGAGAGAGUAGGGAACAUAUCUGGUUUAAAGACUCCAACAGUUCUUUACUUAGCAGUAGCAGAUAGUCUCUUAGAUGAAAAAGAUGAAGAAUCAUCGGUCUUAAAUGGUUGGAGAGACGGUUUAGUACCUUAUGAGAAGAAGAAGCUUGGGGUUAAAGAGGAGGUUUAUGGGAAAUAUUCUUAUUUGAUACAAUCUGCUAUAGAUUAUGAGGUGUGUUUAAGAGCUGAUGUGUUUGUUGGUAAUAGCUUUUCGACUUUCUCUAGUCUCAUUGUUCUUGAGAGGACUCAGAAGAUGAGAAGGUUAGGUUUUGUGAGUUCUUGUGAAGAUGGUGAGAACGAGUGGAGAUCAUAUGCAUAUAAUCUUGCUGGAGAAUCAAAGGGAGUUCCAAGGAGAUGGAUGACUAAUAUGACUCAUUCUAGUUUGGAGGCUAUUAGCUAUGGCUCUAGUUCUGUUUCUUGUUCAAGUGAGUGAAGUUGUGAAACUUUAGAGUUAGGUUUUGGUCUUUUUAUACAAUUCUUUUUUUUUUUUUGUGGUACAAAGCUGUGUAGUUACGUCUUUAGAUCUUUCCUUCAUUUUGUUCUUUAAUUCUGACUUCUACUGGUAAUUAUUGAGAGUAAACAAAAUGAAAUUUAUAGAAAACAAUCCUUUAAUUCUUAAACAAAGCAUCCAUGAACAAAUAACUUAAACACACAAUCUCUCCAAUACAGUUUUGAAUCUUUCUUUAGCAGCUGUCCAACUAUGAAUCCAUACAUAUUAUGAUGAAAUACAGAAGCAUUUGACCCAACAUUCUGGAAUCCAAGAAUUGAUUAGCUUGAGGACCCUUUUCCUCUUUGACUCAAUCUUUGGAAUACACAAAUGAGGAUGCUCAGCCGCUGUUAGUAUCUUGUGAAACAAGUUAUCGACAUUUCCAAGUUUGGAACUGAUUGGUAUUGGAGCUUCAAUCCCUAUCUCUUGUGUAGCCUGCAAGAUCUCAUUUACAUGAAAACAUUAUUAUUACAUAAUCUUUUGAUGAUUAUUAAUCAAUAAGGAAGAUCAGUACUUACCCUAGUGGAUUCUUGAAUUGCCAUUGGGAAUGAGUCAAGAUCCAUUUUAGCUGCAACCAUUAGACAAGGAAACACAAACCCUGCGUCUUCACUAAUUGUUGCAACCUCAGAAACCAUAUAAAUGGCUCUCUUCCAAGAAGACUCAUCAGAAGAAUCAUAAACAAAGACUGCUACAUCACAAGAAGCCAAUGCUUCAUCUGAUAAUAGGAAUCCAUCUUCUUGAUAUUGAAUCUCCUUCAUCACCAGAGUUUUCUUUGUACCUCCAGUUACACCAGAGUUCCCAACCAUAUUAACAGCAUAACGCUCCUCACCUAAUCCAUCUCUAUUGUCAUCAUCAUAUGGCCUAAGAUCAUAUACAAUCAGACAUAUAUUUUAUGUUGUGUAAAAUCAAUUUUUCUUGACCUGAGUUUUAAAACAAACAAACCUUCCAAUAAAUCCAUUGAGCAGUGCAGACUUUCCAGCAUUCUUAGGUCCAAAGACAAAACACUGAACAACUUUUCUUACAGAUGUUUGCUCCUUGCGGUCUAGCUCUCUCCUCCUAGUAACAUGAACUGCUGAAGAUGGAUCAUCAGGGUGACAAAUGCAAAUGAAAUAUUCAAGACUCCUAGCCGGAUCUAGUAGUGUCAUCAAUGACCACUGCAAAGAUAGAAAUAGUUUUAAAGAUUUAGGACAAAUUGUAAACAUUUGAUAUGGGAUCUUCUUGAAACCGUUCUUGAUUACCAGUGAGAGGAAAGCUUCAAGUGAUAAUCCUCCAUUGCUAGUUUUCUCUGUAGCAUCUUUAUAAGGAGCUCCAUUCCAAGGACUGUUAUUAAUGAAUCAAAUCAAUGGAGUUACACAUAAGUAGAUACAAGGACUACAUUAUAUUCAAAAUUUGCGCUCUUUUUGAAAGUGAAAAGGUUACCUUUCAGGUGCAGUUUCAAAGAGAGAUUCCAUCAUUUGAGGUCCCAACUUAUCGAAACGGUGAUAGGCUCUCUUUAAGGAUCCAAUAGCUUGAUCUGUCAGCUCAACACUCUGCACAAAAGCCAAAUCAGAACAGCAGCAAAUAAUCACAAUAGAGUGCUAUAUUUCUGAAGAUGUUUACCUGAUCAGGCAUGCGUUUGAAUGAUGAAUAAGGAAUCAUCUCAUGUACAAGUCUUAAAUCAUUGUUAUAUCCUAGUGUCCUAAGAAUAGUCCAUAACGUUCUGAGUUUUCUAUCGUUGAUAAGCUUUGUGAUUAGAACCAAGAAGCCAUCUAUUGUGAGUCCGUUCUCUUUGACUCCUAGUGGACACAGUUCUUGAACAGAUUUUAUUAAUUCUCUACUACGAGAAGGCAUCACUGGUAUACCAAAGCUACGAACAUUCAUAUCGCUUAACCCGUCAUCACUGAGAAUGUAAUCAUUGUUACGCGCAUAUAGAUCAAAUAUACGUUUUAAGGCAGCAACACAGCGAGGCUUCAGUGAAUUGGUUACUCGAUCAUACACUGGUCCUAUUGGGUACAUAGCCGAUAUUUGCGCUUGCACAAAAACCGCUUGAGCCUGCACAAAAAUCAGUUUGGUCGUUUUCAGACAUGAAGUAUAGUAAAAGGUUGAAAUGCUUUAAAGUGUUAAGAUCUCACUCACAAGCCAACUGAUAUCAGAUAGCCACGGAGCAGACCACUCAAUGCAUAUCUCUAUCUCUUGACAUUGUUGCCUUAUAGGUAACGUUAUUUCUUCAAUGUUGACCGGAUUAUGUUCGUUUUUGAUAACACUAUAACAUGCUACUACGAUAGGGACUCUCACCUAUGUAAUAGAAAUGUCAGAAGACAAACAUUUAAUAAGAAAAAUUACAAAAUUGAUUGAUGAAGAGAUAAAAAAAGAAUGAAACUAAACCUCUAGUUGUCGGAACAGAGGAAGCCAAUAUUCACUUAAACGGUCCAAAGUCUCUUGUCUAUCUAUUGCAAACGUCAGAACUAUUGCAUCUGCUUCCUUGACUUCUCUAAUGACAUCUCUCUUGUCUUCUGGUCUGCAAAUGUUAUUAACAAAGACAUCAAUAGAAUAAAAACCAUUAUAUUUAAAUAUAAACCUAUCUACAGAAUAUUAUAUUAUAUACAUCCCUUAAUGAUGUCAAUAUAUGCACAAAUCAUAAUAAACAUUUACCUUGAAGAAGUGUCGAUAAGGGUAACCGGAACAUCUUCAGAGCAAUAUUCAGAAGGUAGUUUUGUAUAAGGUAACAUAGGAGGGAUGUUAGGUUCAGGAUAGUAAUGAUCAGUUACUGCAGCCAUGAUCAAACUUGUUUUCCUAGUUUCUGUCUCACCAACUACAACGAUUCGUACAGGUUUUUUCGAGCCAUUUGAGUCUCCCAAACCAAAACCAAAACCACUCGUCAUCUUAUGCUGCAAACAAACAUCAAAAUAAUUUUAAGGAUAAACAUAUACAUGUCUUGUAAGAUGACAUCUGAGAAGAUCUAUGGCCUUAGAGGCUUAAGAAUCAAGUCUUAAGGGCAUUGUAUGUUGAAAAGGACAAGACUUUUUCACAACCCACAAGAUGAAAUUACUGAAACAGAGAUAGACUAGAUGAUCCAUCAUAAAGAUGCACACUUUCAGAACCAAAAGUACUCAUCAUCUGAUUUUGCAAACAAACAUCAAAACACUUUUCAGAAUAAGACUGAACUAUGGCCUAGAGGUUUAAGAAUCAAGUCAUAAUGGCAUUGUAUGUUGAAAAGGAGAAGACUUUUAUACAACCCAUAAGAUCAAAUUACUGAAUUAGAGUCAAAAACAGAGAGAGGGUAGAUGAUCCAUGCAUACUUUUCAGAAUGAUUCAAAGGCUCAAAAGCAGUAAGAGAGAUUUUACCUUGAAGGUCAAAAUGCAAAUAAAGACGAGAUAUAUGGUAACUAAGCUUAUGAAAGAUGAGAAUUCAAAGUAGCAUUUUCAUCUCUAUUUAUAUUACUGGUCGAUUCCAAGUAGCAUAUCCAGUACCUUAAGCCAAGUGUCACGUCUUAGUGUGAUAUUUGCGUUUGUGUGAAAGGAUCAACGGAUGAGAUUGAAUAUCUAGACAUUGAUACAAUUGGUCUUCUUGUUUCUGUUAUCUUGUUACCUUUUUGGGUGUUCAAAGCUUUUAAUUACUUGCAUUAAUUUGAAUACCCUAUUGUUGAAUAGAAAAUCCUUUCCUUGUUAACAUUUAAACAAUUCAAGCAUUCGUGUUGAAUAGAACUGCAUAACAUUAUUACAGUUUAACCGUACGUGCAUCAUGCUAUUUCAUUACAUUUUGAUUUUUGACUAUAUAACAAUUAAUUAGAAAACGCGUGUGAUCUUUAUCAUAUACUUUCCACUUAACGCAAUUAAAUUUGUUACCAAAAAUAAUUUUCCUAAAUCAAUUACCAAAUAAUCAUAAUCAUCUAAUUAAAACAUUUCUAUUAACCAGAUAAAUAUGAUAAUUUCUGUUUUUUUUAAAUUAAAUUCGAGAAAAGGUAUAUAAACAUCAAGUGGCACGAAACCUUCUAAAUGAAAAAGAAGGUUACCCUCUGUUACAAAGGCGAGUUUCUUCUCGAUUCCUGAGAGACGACGAACGUGAGAUCGACAAGGAGAUCAAGAUGAUGACCGGCGGGAACUACACGACGAUCGACAGCCAGAAAGUCUCUGGAUCUGUACCUGUAAGUUCACUCCUCCGAUUCGAUUGUUAUACAUGAGUAUCAUCUACGUCUGUACUUCCUCCGAUCUGAUCUCGUUUGUGUUGAUCGUAGUCCGUUCCAGAUCCAGGCCACACCACCGUCAAAUUCGCAGGUAAAACAUUCGAUUUUGAUUGUAGAGCGGUUAGGUUUGAACGAAAUUGAUUUGAAAUUGAAGCUAAAGAAGAAAGCAAUUUGCUAUGGAUUCUUGAAAGAAUCUAGGUUUAGCUGGAAUCUAAAUGCAUUGUUUGUGUUGCAGAAUCAAAUCUUCAAACAUUUCCUCCAUCUCAGGGCAAGAUCUCUGGUGGGAGUAAUCCCCCUCGUGAUGCUGAUGGUAUGGAGUUUUUAUUCUAUAUGAAGUUAUAAGAUGUGGAAACGUAUGAUUGAGCUUUGAUUUGAACACUGGUGCAGAUACAUUUUCUGGACCUGGUAACGGUAGUAGUAGUAGUACAGAUGAACCUCAGUCUGGUGGCUGGCUCCAUAAGUUUACUGUUGGUGCUUACAAGCCGUUCUUCGACGUCGACACUUCGGAUGUCUUGGACAGACUCAAGGAAUCUCUCUUCCCGUUCCGCGGAACGUUUACAGAGAAGACUGCUGAUAAGCCUGACUUGUAAGAGUUGUAGUCUUUUUCUUUUUGACUUUACGAAUGAAACUCGGUUGAUUUGUGUUUUGUUAGGUAUGGUCCGUUCUGGAUAUGCACGACUUUGAUAUUCGUGGCGGCGUCUAUCGGCACGUUUGUCACGUACGUAGCGCAUAAAUGGAAGAAACAAGAGUGGAACUAUGAUAUCAAUCUGGUGACUUGGUCCGCUGGUGUUUUCUAUGGCUAUGUCACGCUGGUUCCUCUCGCGUUAUAUGUGGUUCUCAAGUACUUCUCUGCACCUUCGGGGCUAGUCCAGCUCUUUUGCCUCUACGGCUAUUCCCUGUUCAUCUUCAUCCCUGCAUUGGUACCAAUACUUCUCCUUCUAAAUAAAAAUCAAAACAUCUGUAUAUGAUGAAUGAGACUUUGACACUUUUUUUUUAUCGGUGUGUGUUGAACUGCAGUGCCUCUCGGUGGUGCCAGUGGAGAUCUUCAGAUGGGUCAUCGCGGGUGUAGCAGGGUUCAUGUCUGCAACAUUUGUGGCUCUGAACCUCAAAGCGCAUAUCAAUUCCGCUGGGGAGAGAUCGAUCCUGAUAAUCGCAAGCAUCUUUCUUUUGCAGCUGGGGCUUGCGGUUGUGCUGAAGCUCUAUCUGUUCACAGUCACAGUAUGAUUAUUCAUAAAGGUUUUUAGAAAUUUUGUUUUUAUAAACUAAGGGUAAUGUGUUUUUUUUAUAAUGUGUUCUCUCAGAUUUACUAAUUUUUUGUACUGUAUUAAGAAAGUCGCAUUUGUUUACAUAGAAAUCAAACAUGGCCAUUUUAGACUCUUUUCUAAACUGAUAUCCAUUAAAUUAAAACGUGAUGUUUCGUAUAAUUACAAAAAACGAUACAAAUCUCAAGUUCAAGAGUUUUCUGUGGGUGAAUCAGGAAAGCAAUAGCUAAUCCCUUCAUUCACUAGUUUGACCUUCGGAUAAAUAUUUCAUAUAUGACCGAAACAAUAGCUAAUCCUCAAAGGUUUUUAUCAUCCACACCUUUUUCAAAAACAACAUAAUCAACUCAGCACGGAUCUUUACAGAUCAAAUUUUAUAGGAUUUGUUAUGAAAGUUAGUAGCAUACUAUAACAAGUUGACCUGCUCUUGUACCUACUAUUAGAGGAGGGAGCUGCAUAAUCCAUCAUUUUCACACACAGAAAAACAAAGCUAAAUAAAUAUCUUACUUUGUAACCAUCUUUUACCAAACUCGAGAUAUUAUAAACAUCAUGCCACCAAAAAAGAAAUUAUUCAUAUCCUAGGCAGAGUUAGAAAAGAAAACGACAGCUCCAAAGAAGAAAAUAACACAAGACUCCUAAGAUUAAGAUAAAACAUAUUCAGAUCAGGUUUGUCUACUUAACAUAACCAAAGAUCACAUGAUACUACAACCAGCUGGAUUCUCAUCGCUGAACAUAUCAGUAUAAGGACCCGAGUGUGGAGGCGGCAUUGGCGGUGGAUGAGCAUAAUUCACUGCUGGAUAUGGCCGAGCAUACAUCAUCGGGUGGUACAUGUCUCCACCGUGACCACCACCAUAUCCUCCAUGAGCUGCAGCAGCUUGUUGUUGUUGUUGUUGCUGCUGGUGCAUCAUCAUUUGCAUGUACUGUUGUUGGUUCAUUUGAUGAUUUGCCUGAGGUGGUUGUGGAUAAUAUCCUCCUCCUCCUCCACUCAUCGGCAAACCUUGUACCGCCGGGUAGGAGCCGCCGCCUUGAUGUCCCAUUGGACCACCUUGACCCAUCAUCCCCAUUGGACCACCUUGUCCCAUCAUACCCAUGGGACCUCCUGGACCCAUUGGACCACCCAUCCCCUUAGCACUAUGAUUAUGAUUCCCCUUGUUACCUCCUCCUCCGCCUGCUUUGUUGUGUUUGAUGAGCUCUUCAAUAUCAUGGGCCCCAUGGGCUCCUCCUUUCGAUUUACCUCCUCCCUUUUUAGGCCCACUAUCAUAAUGAUGAACUCCACCUCCUCCCCCACCACCAGAGGAUUUUACCUUAUCACCCCCACCACCACCACCUUCUUUCUUACCACCUCCCUUCUUCUCAUCUCCUUUUCCACUUUUAACAUUUUUGAAAAACCCUAGAAGGCCACCACCACCACUUUUGGCUUCUGUUUUCCCCGUUUUGCCCCCACCUCCCUUUUUAUCUUUUCCUUCUUUCUUACCCUUCUCACCUCCUUUCUUUCCCUCUUUUCCCAUUUUACCCUCACCCAUUCCCUUCAUUUGCACCGGAAUCUCAAACCCACCACCUCCUCCGCCUCCUUUCUUCCCCGCUCCUCCACCACCACCACCGGCUUUGAACCCAUUCAUCAUCAUCAUAAUCUCAUUAGGCCCCUUAGGCCCACCACCAUGCUGACCCAUUUGUGGCAUCUUGUUAGGCAUCAUCAUCAUCUUAUUUGGAGGCAUGUGAUGAUUACCUCCUCCUGCUCCAUGACCAUGUCCUCCCAUUUCACCAUCCUCCUCAUCGAACUCAUCGUCAUCAUAAUCAUCCUCGCUGAACUCAUCAUCAUAAUCAUCAUCACUAAACUCAUCAUCUUCUUCAGCAAACUUAACAGACUUCUUCUGAUCCUUAGACGCCACAGGAGGCAUCAUCAUCUUCAUAUCCUUCCCACCACCACCACCACCACCUUGAGCAGCCCUCAUCAUCAUCAUCUGUUGAAUCUGCUGAGGAGUCAACUGCAUUGGUUGACCAUGCCCUUGAUUCUGACCACCACCACCACCGUUACCUUUCCCCUUUACUUGGUUGCUCUCUUUUCCACCUUUGCCCUUACCGUUUCCAUUCAUACUGAGAUUAGCAAACCCUUUUCCUCCUCCUCCGCCGCCACCACCGCCUAUGAUCUCGGCGUGUUUCCCUGACUUGCUCAGCUUCUUAACGAGAAGAGCAGGGUCAACGUUCCCUGUGACAGUGACUUUCCCCUGUUCCACAUCUGCUUUUACAGAGUACACUCCUGAUAAUCAAAAACCAAAACCAUUUCAGAUUCUUCCCCAAUGCUUAAAAUCUCAAAGCUUUGAACUUUAUAAAGUAAAGUAGAAACAGAGUACCACCAGAAGAUAAAAUCUCAAAACUUUGAACUUUAUAAAGUAACAUAGAAACAGAGUACCACUAGAGAAUAAAUCUUAAAACUUUGAACUCAAUAAAUUGAAUUUAAAAAGUAAUAUAUAAAAACAGAGUACCACAAGAAGAUAAUCUCAAAACUUUGAACUCCAUGGUCGAAUUAAGAAAGAAACAUAGAAACAGAGUACCACCAGGAGAUAAAUCUCAAAACUUUGGACUCUAUGUUUUAUAAAACAGAGUAAAAUUUUCAUGUGAGAGAGGAGAGCAACAAGGGGAACUCAAUAAAUCAUAGAUCUAUUUGUUUUCAGAGAAGAAAGAACACAAACCUUCGAUUUUCUGCAACUGUUUCUUCACUUUAUGCUUACAGCCUUCACAGUGUACGUUCACUUUCAGAACACAAGUCUGCCCAAAAAAAAACACAGCAGUAAACAGAAUUAGCACACACAGACACAAUCUUGAAGGGAGAGAAAAGAAUAGAAGGAGACGUGUACCUGAAGCUUCAUAACAUCUUGUUUAUUCAUAACUUCUCUUAGAUUUGUGGGUUUUUACAGACAAAACUAUGGUUAGAGAGAGAGAGAGAGUUUCUGUCUGAAACUCUUAUUUUGAAGGGAACAGGGUAGUAGAUAAGAGAUUAUAAGAAGGGGGUAUGUUGUGUAAUAAAGGCGGUUGUUGUUGCUCAAGGACAGAAACAGAGAAAGAGAAAGAGAAAGAGAAAGAGAAAGAGAUUAAAAACACGCUGAACACUUGUGUCUUGUUUAAUAUCUCUGUAUCAGGGUUUCUUAUUUUCUAUGUCUGUAAAAGAGAGCGGUGGUGGCACAAGAAGCAAGGAUAUCUUUCAUUUUGAUUUUGCAAAUAAUCUUUUUUAAUUAUCAUUACUUUACUAUUUUCUUAAUUAUUAUUCGUUUUGUUUUAAAAAAAUUAAUUAUAAAGUUUGUACUUUUUCUUCUGGUACAGAGUUAAGAGAAAGAAGAAGCUUGAAGGCAGCUUCUUUCACUUUGGCAGAACUAAGUACAGCCUCGCUUCGUCACUGUACUUAGCUGUAUUCAUCUUCUGGAAUACGAUUGAUUAACAUACAAUUCGAAUAUUUAAGAUUCUUUAACUACAAUACUUAGCUGUAUUAAUGUUCAAUAAUUAGAUUUACUUUUAUUCGUAAUUUCGUAGAUAUUAUCUAAUGUAUUUUCAUAAGUUUUUUUUUUUUUUUUUUUUGCAACUGUAUUUUCAUAAGUUCAUCUUACUGAUCAUAGCAUAUCUUAUUUCCUUGUAGACUUAUUACAUUACAAUAGUUUUAUGUAGACACUGAUAUUAACAUCAAAUUUUCGGGAUCACAAUAAUGAUUUGUGAUCAAUGAUUUUAAUGAUUGUUGACUAGAGAGGGUUUUGGAUCCAGUCACAAGCAAGAAAGCGGUCUUUGUCAUCAAGAUGGACUUGUUUAAACUUUAAACAACAUCACUUACGCAAACAAAGAAGCUACAGCUACUGAAAUUCAAACAAUAAUUUUAAACUCCUAUAAUGGUAAAUUGUGCGAUCUAGAUCUUUCGUAUAUACUACUAAUACACCACAUACGAAAUGUUUCUUAAAGACUGUUGGAUUGUCAACAUAAAUUGGUUGGCGAUAUGAUUUAAUUUCUCGUAGUAUCAACCCAAAUCUUUUUGAAAGUUUAUUAAGAAAAAACAAUAAUAAAUUAAUUUGAUUCUAGUUUUAUGAUGGAAACUACUGAAAAUUUGAUUUGGUAACUUUUCUCGUCGAAGAUAUUUAUACAUAAAUAAAAAUAUACAUAUUUAUAGUCUAGGGGUGUUCAAUCCGGAUAUCAGUUCGGUUUCGGUUCGGUUUUUUUCGGUUUUCGGUAUUUCGGUUAGUAAAAUAUAACUACCAUUCUAAAUCCAUAUUUACUUUGGUUCGGUUUGGUUUAUAUACCGUCGGUUUUCGGUUUAUUCGGUUUUAUACCAAAAAACAUAAUUAUUUUGUUAGAGAUCAUAUUAUAUGAAUUUUAGAGUCAUAUUGUCAACACAUUAAUUUAUUAAAAAUAAAUUACAUGUUCAAAUAACUGAACAAAAAAGUAAAAAUGCUUCUACCAUAAAAUAAAAUAAUCAAAUCUAUAACUAAAAGCAAAGCUUAAAAUUUUGAAAAUAAAAAUAUGAAACAGAACCGAAACAUGAAAUAAAGUUUUUCCACUCUUCCAUAUUUAGUGUUCAUUAAAGUCAUGCUUUUUCAAUUAAAAAUUUUCUAUUAAUUAUUUUUCAUCAAAUUUAUAAUCUUCAUAUUAAUUUAGUGAAGACUAAAAUAAAUCAAAAGAUCAAAAAAAGACUUAGAAAAUAAUAUGUAUGAAUUGCGAUGUAAUGUUAUUAAGUUAUAGUUCAAAUGUUUUACAAAUUAUGGUUUUUUAUUACUAUAAAAUUAUGGUAAUAGUUAUUAACACAAAUUUAACUUAUGUAACAAAUAGAUUUUUAUGUAUUGUUAUAAAAUAGAUAUAUAUUUACAUGUUUCUACUUUUAAUCGGUUUUGUUCGGUUUAUUCGGUUUAAUCGGUUAUAUACCAAACCAUAUUCAAAUCCUACGGUUUUUAUAAAAUUAUAUCCAUUCGGUUUAUAUGGUACAUACCAAAACCAAACCAUAUUGUCUAUUUCGGUUCGGUUCGGUUCGGUACGGUACGGUUCGGUUUUACCAUAUUGAACGGCCCUAAUUUAUACAUAAAACUUAGAGGGUUUUCUAUAUGUUUUUCAUGGAAUGGUCAUAGAAAAUUCAAUCACACAACAUACAAAUAUAUGUUAUUGAUAUGAAUACAUGAGACAGAGAAAAAGGGAAGAACAAUUAUAUCGAUUCCACUCUUUGCUGUGAAUAGAGCUCUCUUAGGCCAGCUUUCAACCACCAACACAAGUCUGAAAUUAGAUAAACUAUUAGUAAACUACUUCUUAAUUAGCUAGUUGAAAUAUCUUAGAGGUUUUGUGUUAGAAAUAAAACUUGACUUAAUUUGCUAGUGCAUGUGGCGCAUGUGCACCACUUCAUCAGUGAGAUAGUAUCAUAAUAGUAAGUGGCUUUCUUCAAACAAAUCCACAAUAGUUUUAUACACACCAUGAAGGAUAGAGAAAUACUAUCAAUAGUAAUGCCAUUGUUAUUAAUUCACAUCGUGCAUUUUUAAACUAAGCAUAACUUUUGACUGUGUGUUUGAUUAAAAUAAUAGCCAUACUAACCGUAGAUUAUAGAUAUAUAUACACAGGUAGGUUCGACCAUAACUAAUGUUUAGAUGUAACGUUACAAACUUACAACUUACGUGACUCUAGGGACCUACGGUUACACACUAGGCUUUUUUUUUUAAAGUACGUCGGAGGUCGGUCCAUGGCAACCUCAGAAAGUGAUAUAUUUCUCCGACCAAAGAAAACAAAUAAAACACGCACAAAAGCAUUGAUCCAAAAAAAAACACGCACAAAAGCUAUUAAGAAAACUAAAAGAAAAGAUGAGAUAAAAAUAACAGUGUCUUAAGAUAUUUUGAUCAAUCAUUUUCAGAGAUAUUUUAGACCCUUGUUUUUUCUAGAUAAAUAACUUUCUCUGUUUCUUUCGUCUUUUCUCUACGGAAAACCAACCUCGUGACGAACAUUGUUGUCAGCUUAAUUUUAUUUGUCAGUCUGUUUUAUUUUCAACCUCUUUCACGCUUAUCAGUUUCAUUCUGAUUGUUUGAAUUCACUGCUGUUAAAAGAGACUUUGGAACUCGUUAAGCAAAUUUGUAAUGUAGUUUAAACAAACAAAAAACAAUUGUUAUGUGGGAUUAGUUUAUUAUUGCAUGUAGUAAGACUCUUUUUAAUAAAGAGAAAAGCUCAACUUCUAGUAUUUACAUGAAAUAUAUAUUAACAGUUAGACAUGGAGAUACAGAAUGACACAGAUUAAUAGCAUAGGUUAUAAAAGAUACAGUUGAAGUUCUUUUAAUUUAUGUACGGAGAAACUAGGCUUUACUUUUCCUUUAUCUUUUCCAUAAAAUUAUCCAUAAAAUUAUAUUUUUGUUUGCUUUUAGUACCACUUCUUCUAUACACAUUUGACUAAUAAAUAAAAAUCGCAAAUAUUUUGGACUCAUUAGAUGAUGUGGGUCUUUUUAAAGCACAUGCCGAUGAGUACUAACUGUUGUUUUGGCGUUUUGGACGCUGGACCUCAUCUACUCUUUCAAAUCCAAUGUAGUAAGUUUUUGUUAGCUACGUUUAUUUUUUUAAAGAAAAUGUUAUAUUUUGAUAUAAAUGUGUCUUCAUUGCAUGCAUUAUAUUGGUAUCCUCUGAGUGAUUUAUAUUAAUCAACCCUCCUGGAAACAUGGAUUUGAUACUGACCACCAAAAAGAACAAACAUAAGAACUAACUGUAUCACGCGUUAUGUUUGAUUCCGAAGGUCAAAUGACGAAUGGGAAGAUACGUGUGAGAAUUUAGACGAAGUUUGCUUGUAGUCUAGUAGUCGAUGUCUCAAACAAGUUAUAAAAGCAAAUAAACAUUUUUCGUCUUUAAUAAAAAAAACAUUUUCGUCUUACUUUUUAGAAGUUGUUUUUCUUACAAUACAAAUAAAAUUAAAAUAUAUAUUGAUAAUGCUUUUUGUUAAUUGAUAAUUCCUCAAUACAAUAGAGAAUUACCGCUCAUUUGUAAUGACAAAGACUAAAGAUAUUCAUGUUUUAAUUAAUCUGAAUGUCUAAUAAAUUAUGAAAUUAAAAUGCGAGGCUACGAAGAGGUAAACAAACUAAGCUUUGAUUGAUAUCAUGGGGCUUUAUGUCGACGUACGGUGAUGUAACCCCCACACGUUUCUAACACAUUCAUAAACCUAAAUUCACUAGCUUAUUUCUCUAUCGAAUUAAGUUAACAUAACUUCUGUUGAAUUGAUACGCGCAAUAAGCAAAGAUGUAGUGUAACUUGUAAGGAUGUCCAGAGGUGGAGUCUAUGGACUUCAUAUCCAAAAUUGGUUCACAUAAACUAUAUGGCAGUCUCUAUGGUAUCUACCAAUGUGUCUAUGCAUUAAAGAAAGAUUUGUAUUGUUUUGGUAGGUACAAAUACAACUAACUUUUGAAUUUAUAUGUAUGUGCAUAUAUAUAUAAAAUAGACAUAUAUACCCUUGUUUGUAACACACACAUAAUGACAAACCACUAAAAAUAUCUAUAUUUCAAAUGACUCAAUCUUGUUGAUGAUAAGAUUAUGAGUUCAGUGGUUCUUGUUGUUUCAUUUAUUUUCUUUCCUUCAAUCUUGAUUCAGUUUCUACUUUAUCGAGUAAAUUAACAAGAACGAAAGCACUAGGGCACUAUAUAGACAUGAUUUGUUAACAAUUUUGUAAGCGACAAAAUUAAUAUCGUGCAAUAUAUAUUCUAUAUUAUCAACAUAAAAGAGUUAAAAUCCCAUACAUUUGGUUGGAAACGAGAAAUAUCGUGGAAGUUAGGUGAUGGGAAAAGUUAGAGCGCUUCAAUUAAUUGUCACAAAUUAUAAUAGUUCUAUGGACGUUAAGAUAAACUCUGUUUUAACACAUAAACUAGAUUUUGACCCGCGCUUUCAAAGCGCGGGUUUAUUUUUGUUUUUUUCUUCAAUUGAUAAAUAUUUAGUAAAUGUCACAUUUUCAUAUAUUUGUGUUUUAUUUUAUAAAAGACUUAAAAAUUUUAUCUUUAUUUAUCGUAUUUCAUUUUAAAUGACUAUUUAUGUUAAAAAAAUUAAACUUUAUUUUUUUAAUGAAUUAAGUUGAUAUAACUCUGAUAAAUUAAUUUUAUUGUGGGGUUAAUAUUUUAAUUAAAAAUUAUAUACUUUUAAUAAAGAUUUAUACUUUUCAAUAAAAAAAUUCAAUUAUUUUUAUGAAUGCUUAAAUUAUAUUAAGAAAAGAAAAAAAUAAUAAUUAAGAAUAGUUGAAAAAAAAUUAUUUGAACUUGGACUCAAUGGCCCAAAGAAAAAAAAAAGUGAGAAUUGAAUCUGAUUUUUUAAUAGGUCCAAAUGGCCCAAGAGAGAUUUGAUUUGGGCUGGAUCCAAAAAUAAUGACCCAAUAUAGAUUUGUUAUUAAUAUUACUUAAUUACCCUUAAUGAAACAUGUAAUGUUAGUGAAGGAAACAUGCCCCUAAGGUAAUUAUGACAAUAGGAUCCUGCUUUAAUAGUAUAGAUCAAACCAUCAUGUUUCUUCCAGCUUUAAGUAAGAAAAGGAGAUCAGUGGGGGUAAAAUCGAAAUAGAUCAAAUCCCAAGGAUCAAGAAAGAAAAGAGCAGUAAGAGGAAGGAAAAAGCUUUAUUGGUUGGGGUUGACAAGACAUGAAGCAGAUUGAAAACAUCUGCUUUGGUCCGAAAAAGAGGGAAGUUAGAUUCCCUGAACUGCACCUACAUUGGUCUACAGACACACACAUUCAUGUAUAUACUGUUAUGUAAUAAUCAUAACCCAUUCAUGUUUUUUAAUAUGACUGAUCUCUGUUUUCCUCCAUCAUAGACUUUCACUUUUGUCCCCUUCAUCAUGGUACAACAUCCUCAGUAACUUGAUUUACUUUAUAUAUAUACAAUAAUGCACAUUCGCGUUUAGGUCAUAAGAUGUUUGUUACAGGCUGGUUUGCAAAAUUGUUUAGAUUUCAAAAAAAAAAAAAUUUGUUUAGAUUUAAUACUGAACCAAAUGAACCGGCAAUCUUUCUGGCUGAUCAGAACAUUUUUAUUAAUAUUCUUAUGAGAAAAAGAAAAUUCAACUUUUGCUUUUUAGGUUACUUGUUUACAGUUGCACAAAAAAAAAAGGUUACUUGUUUACCUGUUUACCCGAUGUCCCUCAUGAGCGGUUUACUCACAGUUCAAAUAUUCUCUGCACUUUUCUUUAUACCAGUCUCUUGCAACUUUGCUUUUUUUUGUCGAUGGCAAUCUUAAACCAUUUACACCGAAAGAUUUUCUUUUAAUGUAUAAAACGAAAAGAAGAAUAAAUGGACAUUAAUUCGUUGAGUGGUGCACAAAGUUCAAGUGUUUUGUGUCUAUGUUCGACAAGACAUUGACUAUAACGCAUUUUCAAACAUGUCAACAAAACUUUAAUUCAAAAAUAUCUAACUGUAAGAAACUUUCUAAACGGUCGAAAUGCAUAUAACACGCAGUUUAUGUCUCUAUACAUAGCAAGUUAGCAACCUAACUAAACCAAACUGAGCUAUACAAAGAAAGCUAUCGUUUCUUAAUCAACUUAAUUCACGAGUAAACUACAUUGUUAAUGAUGAUCAAUUUAUUUAAAGCAUGUCCUCUUAUUAACCAGCUCGAGUUUCUAACUUAUGUUACAAUUCUAGGAUUAUGGCCACGAUUACAGUGGCCUUAGCCAGUGAGCUAAAUCAUAUUAAUUUUGAUGGGAUUCAGCAUUUGACUCUGUUGUUGUAUCUAUCUCCUUUUUCUUGCCGAGUCUAUCCGAGUAUCAAGCAAAAACCAAUUAGGAUCUGGGUUUUGGGCUAGUUAGCUUUAUUGGGUCUUAGUCGUACGAGCUCAAAUCCCAGUAGAUGGUACACUAGAAAUAAUGUUUAUGGGGCUAUUCAAAUAUUGUCUCGUUCAGUCACAUGAUAUACGUGAACAGUCUUGUAUGAACUCUAAUAGUUAUAUACUCUUAAGCCUCGCAAAUGGUCCACUUAACCAUAAUUAAAAAGAUCUUUGACAAGUCCAGUCGUCACAGCGUGCAAACAUUAACUGUUUUUGUUUGUCGUCGAUAAACAUAAUUUGGGCGGUUCUAAUGUAUGCAUUUGUUGCGCAUAAGCACAUGUGAAAAAUAGCAUUGUGCAUUAACAACGAAUAUUUAAUUAUGUCCUUCUGUAUUAACAUUGACUAAUGAUUAUUCAGACGCCAUGAGAGUCCGUGAUCUGACCGGAGGCCUAGUGGCGGUCAAUAAUUUUCCAUAUAAUAUCAAAAAAAAAUUUGAAGUUAACUGUAAUAAUAUAUUCUUCUCAAGAAGACAAUUAUUCGAAUUCGUACAAAAUAAUGAUCAAACUCAUAUAACGUUUUGUUAGCUCAUGUAGACUUUUGUAUAACUGUCAAGUAAACUCUGGCUAUAAACCAUUCAAAUAGUUCAUGUCUAUCUCCUUGAGUACUACUUUUCUGUACAUGAAAGUGAGUAUAUAACUGUUUUUUUUUUGAGCAACUGUGAGUAUAUAACUAUAUUUCGUCUGAUAAAAACCAGAAAAAAUAGAAAAACUAUAUUCCAUUCUCUUAUUUAUCAUGCAGAGAGCUAUUUUUUGUAGUCGAAUAAAACCUUUUUAUAUUUCAAGAACCCAGAGACCUACCUGCACCACACCGCACCUCACCUCACCUCGCAUCACCACUAUCUGUUGUUUAUUGUUAUCUACCUGUUUUAAAAGCUUUUUAUAAAGUAGAUCUCUUAUCUGGAUUUGACUUUGAUUAAUAUGUACGUUUCAGAAACUCAAGAAUACAAAAUUAACAAUUUAAAAAAUAAAGGAAAAUGUAUUGCGUGUUUAUAAACAAUCCCAUACAAAACAAAAAUGAAAAAGAUAAGAAAAAUGUAGGUACAGCUACAAAAGAAAAGUCAACUAAACCGGUAAUCUCAUCGAACCGCUAGUUGAGCCACCUGUACCGGGCGGUUUAACCGAAGUUCCUUCGCCGUCCUUAUUGACUCCUCCCUUAUGUACCGAAGAGUUCCUCCACAACAACGACCCGUUUCUAAGAAAAGCCCACCGGUCCGACCGUGUGGACUCACCGGUUGAAUUCGACACAUUGGCUCGAAUACUACGGGUAGAACCUAGCCUAAUCGAACCAUCAUCACGGCUCCUCCACAUAAACGACGGCGUUUUACGGAACAACCAACGAUCAGACCGAGCCCUUGAUGGUUUACCUCUCCUUGAACUUCCUCCCCUAGGAAGAGCCACAAGACUACCAGACCGGUUUAGUCUCCAAUUCUCCAUCACCCUCUUCCUCACAUCUUCCGGUAACCGGAGAGUAAACCGCUCGGUACAUUCUCCCGGUUGAACCACCGAGUGCCCGGUCGUAUGCGAUCUCGAGAACUUCACUCGUUUGAUAUCCACCGGUACUCCAGGUAGUCUCCUCGAAUCGACUUCAGUUAUAACCGAUUGUUCCGGUACAGGAGAAUCAACCACCGGUUCGGGAUUCACCGCCACCUCCUGUAAUUCAACAUCCGGUUCGACCGGUUCUCCCUCAGAGAGAUUAGCCCUGCAAACAGGGCAAGUAACGUGAGCCUCAAGCCACGCGUCUAUGCAGUGAGGGUGAAAGACAUGAUCACAUUUAGGCAGCAAACGCAGCGUUUCAUCGUCUUCGAACUCGUUCAGACAGAUCGCACACUCAAGCUCCCCUUUCCCGAGCUUCUGAGUCUUCACCUCCGAGUACACGAACGUCGGGAAAGUCUCCAACACCGAAACGUCGAGUCCACGCGCCGCUGCGGUGACGGUUCCUCUGGAUCUAACCCCACCAGCAGCAGCAGGGGAGGCGCCGGGGUCGACUAGGCCGGAGCAGGAGCGGAAGUAGAUGGAGAAGAAGCCCAUAAAGAAGAGAGCAGCGACGAGGAUCACGACGAUCACCGCCAAGGCGGGACUCACCCUGCCGUAGUUGUUAUACAUUUCAUUUCUAUUAGCAGGCGGCGGCGGUCCUUGGCCCGCCGCGAGCUCCGCCGCUGAUAGUAUUAGCAAGAAAACAAUCGGCAAAACGCCGGAAAAAGUCAAGGGGUCAGAUCUUCUCAUGCUUCUUCGUGUGUGUGUGUUUUGCCUCUUCGAUGAGAUGAAAGUGAGUUUUAAUGUUAGAGCGUUCUUGCAGUGACGUCAGCAAAUGUGUCAGUUCUGACUUCCACGUGGCAAUACAAGCUUCGUUCAAUCGAUAAACAUAUUUUUCAACGGAAUCAAGAUCAUGCAUCGUUUUCAUAUUACAGUUUACAAUUUAACCUUUAUAUAUCUAAUUAUUUCAGACAUCACAUAACGAGAAGGGUUGACUCUGACUAUGUCUUCGAUAAUAUUUCAGACAGCUUUUGUACUUGUGUUUUAUUGUUCAACAACUAUGCUAAAUAGCCUAAAUUUCGUUACAUUGUAUGCGGCAUAAUAAAUGUCCAUGACUUCCUAAACUUACAUAAUAUAGGGGUUGCAUAAUAUAAAUCUGAUGCGUAGACACCAUGCUGAUAUAUUGCAUUGAAGUCUAAAAUUUAACAAAAUUAAUGAUUGAGCUAAAAUAUCAUUUAUUCGAGAUUAGAAAAAACAAACAUGGCCUUUGAUUCAGUUUAUCUCGUGAAUCCUUCACAUGAAUGAAUCAUGAACUCUUUAAUAAUUUCCAUAAAUGAAAUGGCAAAAGAUCUAAUCUCGAGAUUGUGUGUAGUCUCGAUACGUGGUCGCUUUUAUUUAUUAAUGGUCAUACUUUUCAGUUCUCACGUUGGGUCAAACAAAGAACGCUGAAUUAAAUAUAAUUUGACCGAGUAGUGCCUUUCUAGAAGUUAAAGCCAAGACGCACUUCUUUAUUACCACCACUCUUUUUUGGUAUCUCAGGCUGCUUGGUAUGUGGGUAUUAGCACACCUGAAUCCUCUGUCAGGUUUUUGUAAGCGUUUUGGAGUGUUCUUGUUACCGGUCCAACUUUUCCUUCACCAAUCACACGUCCAUCGAUUUGCACAACCUGUGUAACAAAAGAGCUUAUUAUUGUCUUAUUGUGAUUAGAGAUUAAUUUAUUUGUUAAUGGUUAAGUAAGAUCCCCUGAAGAUUUCAUCAAGAGCCAUGAGUUACUAACUGGAAACUCCCUAUCUACAAAUGUUUUAUGAAAAGAUUGAUGUUUGAAUGUCAAAGAUUCAGGUGCAAAAUGUUAGAGGAUGCUUUAUUUUAGUAAGCUAAUAAAGACUGUACGUACCGGGCUUAGUUCUCCCAUAGUUCCUGUUGUCCAUACCUGAAAAGCAUGCAUUGUUAGAUUUUGUUAGAGGAAGAGACACACACAUAAUGACCUUGACGAAAAUGAUCAUUUGUAAGCUGAAAUGACCUCAUCUGCUGUAUGAAAUUCCGAGAGACUGAUUCUUCGUUCUUUCUAAGAUGAGGUUUUCUUUAACCACAAGUUCCAUAACCUUGAAAUAUUAUAGGAAAAAUGCAAAAAAUGUUUUAUAUCAAGUCUAUUACUGAGAUGUUUCUUAACAAAAGUAUGUGAGUUUUUUUUUUUCCUUACGGUAGCUCUUGUUAUUCCAGGGAGACAGUAAUCUGCAUGGGGAGUCAGAACACGUCCUUUCUUCACCAUAAACUGUAUAGCAUAAAAUAAAUAUGUUAACAACAUGAACUUCUCUGUAAAUUAAAACUCUAUCAAAGUCUUUCUUACAAUGUUGGUUGCAUUGGUUUCAGAUACAAAACCAUCUUUGUCAAGCAUUAUGGCAUCCGCGGCCUUCGCAUUGCUACUUUCAAUCUGUUUUUAUUUUCAAUAUAUAUAAAGAACAUUAAUCUCAUAAAACAAUGUCAAUUCUUGAACUUUCUUGAUUUGAAAAACAAUACCUUUGCUAGUAUGUUAUUGAGAAGGUUGUUAUGAUGAAUCUUGGAGUCCAAGUUCUGAACGAAAGCAAAAAAGAUAAAAAACAGACUUAUUCAUAGUUAUAUCAUGAAGAGAAGUCUUGAGUCAAAUUCAUACAUUAGGCGAGUUGCGGCGUGUGGUUGCAGUCACCAACACAAUCCCACCAUCAUUGUCAUAGACUGGAGGCUUCCAUUCCGCAAGCACUGCAACGAACAAAGUUUAAUUUGCAUGUAAAGUGUAAUCUCAUUAGUCAUUACCAACCUUAGUUGUUAGGAUAAAGAUGAAAGGUUACCAAUAAGAGUACAUCCAUAUCGAUUGAAGGUAGGGCUCAUUCCAGAAGUUACCUUAAACGAACCAGUUGCAUAGUUUUUUAAGACUAAGAAAUGAAAACGUAAGUUUCUUAAAGAAACUUAAAAUAUACUUGAAAUAAACGCAAUACCUUUUUGCCACGAGUGAGAGACAACCUGAUAUGUGUAUUGUCAAACAUACCAUUUGUUAUGAGAGUUCUGAAGAUAGCUUCUUUUAUCUGUAUGGUGUACCAUAAUAAAGCUAUGGUGGUAACAAUAUUGUUUCAACAGAACAAUGGUCGUAACAUUCAAGAUGCUUUACCUCUUCACGAGAUGGAACAUUGUCGAAAGCCAGAGCCUUAACUGAAUCAAACAUUCUAAUCAAACAUUUCAACAUAUAAAAUAACAUUGCUUAGAAAAACUCUUUUACUUGCUUCUUAGUUUCUUAAGCAUUUUGAAUGUUGUUAUUACCGAUCAAGAUGUUCUUCAAGCUUGAAUAUCUUUCCCUUGUAAAUCCUGAGUCCUUCCCAUACUGAGUCACCACCUUGGACAACCGAGUCAAAAACUGAAACCUAAAGAAUAAGAAGAGGAAGUAUAGCACAAUCAGCUUUUAAAAUGAAAAUCACAAAACAGCAACUCGUUAAUAUUUUCUUCAGCAUAUAAAGCACACCUUUGCCAUCUCACGAGGUAAGAUCUCGUCACCAACCCAUGCAAGAAGUUUGGCGUUUUCAGGAACCGGGAGACUAGGAGGAGGCAAGGGACAACUCAAGAGUGAGGACUUGUGCUUCACGUGGCUCCUAAGAAUGUUGUAAAGUGGUAGACUUUGCUCCAGCAAAUCGUAAUGUGACAAAGGGAAUAUCUGUGAAAACAAAACACACCUUAAACUGAAUUCAAAACCAUAACCGAAACAAACCAGAGACUUACACGUGGAUACUUCUUUGGAGAUGAGAAACCUGUUGACUCAUGCACACUCUUGUACCACCAUGGUGCCCAUACUCCAUCUUCUGGUAUAGGACCAGCCUCCCAUCUAAACAAAACACAACAAACCAUAUAGUUAUUACAAUCUUAACAUUUAUAAAAACAAAAGAGAAUGCAAUAAGAGGACUUACUUAAGCAUAGAGGCCUGAAAUGGAAUCUCCAAAUCAUCGCAAAGACCGCGUAACGUGUUCUGUAUAUGUAUGAAUGUCAAAACAUGCAAGGACUAGAGGUUAAGAGACAUAGACAUAUUACAGAAACAAAACCUCAGGAUCUCGUUGAAGCUCAUCAGCAUCGAUGACUGGUGGUGGUGUUCCCAUCUGACAAAGAUCACUGUAUAUCGACACUAGUUCCCCCAAGCCUAGUUCAAGAAACGAUGGAGGUUGUACCUUCUCAAAGGAAGGCUGAAAACAUAGAAGAACAGUAGAUGAAACAUUGACUAAAAAGCUGAGAUCUAAUAAAAGAACCUUUAGUGAGAAAGCUAACCAGUAUGUUAAGUGGAUUUCUUAUUAAUAUGAAGUGUUUUCCUUUACUCAUUAGUUCAGUUGGUAAACCGAAAAGCCGUUGUUUCGAGAUAUGCUGUUCAAAUGAAACACAAGAACGCACUAUCUUAGCAAGAAACAACAAAGAAAGCUCUUUAAUAGCACGGUUUUUGAAGCUUCCAAGAAAACAAUCAGCGUUUCACCUUACAGUACCGGUACUUCUUUGAUCCAGAUCCAUAAAUGGUAUCUUUCACUACCUUAUGUCCAUUGUACUCCUAUGGAAAACAAGAGACGAAGAAUUAAAAUUUGUUUUAUUUCUAAAGCAAGACUAAGUAUGACCUAAAGUCCUAACCAGUUACUAACUUACUAUUUAUAGUAAACAUACCAUCAUAGAGAGAACCUCGUCUCUGUAUGGCCUAUCAACACGUAGCUUUGAGAAAUGCUGCAUACAAGGGCUCGUCGACAACUUCAGUGUCAUCUCUCUGAAAAAAAUUGGACAUAAAAUCAAUGUCUGAAAACUUUACUCCUAUUGUGGAUGCAAGUAAGGUUUUGAGCUAAGACCUAAAAGGAGAGUGGUACCUGUGCAAAGGAGUACAUGAGGCUGGUGCUGAGUGACCUUGGGGCAGACCAUGAGUGAAUCACUUCAGGUUCUGUCAUUGAGGACGAUGAUGAAACCAAAGGGAACUCUAAACUGUGGUCUUUUUGAUCACUUUUGUUAUAUCACCACUCUUGAGUAAAGUGCAUGAGUGUUUGUGGACCUGUAAGAGUCUUGACAUAACAAGAAUCUACCCCUCUAAAGAAAGAAAAGGACAAGAAUUUGGAUAGCAACUUGCACGCAUAUCAAGUCUCUGUUUGCUUGGAAGUUAGUAAUCCCUAGAAAGAAAAGAUACCAAAACCACUAUAAAAAAUACUUUACUUUAAAUGGAAUAAGUCCGGUUUGUAGUACCUUGAACAUCAACACACUUAGAGGAAUUGAAACAGAGAGGGCUUGAGAGAAAACUCUGGGGAUCCGGCGGUCGGUCGGCGCGUGAGCGUCUGUGCCGCCGCCGGAGUCCUUUCUUCUUCCAGAAUAAAUCGCCAGUCCCUGUUUCCUCCUAUCCUUUUCCGGUUUCUGCAGUUCGGAGCUCUGGUCAGCCAUCAACCGCCGGGGUUGUGGUUCUGGAGUCACGAUGCGUUGGUGGGAAGGAUGGGGGGGUUUAGUUGUGCGUUCUUUGUUUCUGGGAGACGGAGGCUCUCACAGAUCCGUCGCCGCCGGCUCUUGCAUCCGUGGCGGGGAAGCUUCCUCAGUUCCGCCGUCGUCGGCUCUAGUCCCCGGGGGGUGAAGGCUAUCACAGUUUCGCGUCACCGGAUCUCGUCCCCUAGUUUUUUAGGGUUUGGUCUUUUUAGUUUAAGUUUUUCUCAUCGCUUAGUCUUAGGGUUUGUUUUUGUGCUCGCGUCGUAGGAGAGAGGAGCUCUCCGGUGAAACGGUUAUGUUGCAUGCGAUAUUUUCUUUGGGUGGUUGUCGUGAAUGGUGGUGGAGGUGAUCUCGCCAUGGCGAUCGAUCCCUUCCGGUUUUAGAGGCCCAAAGACGCUUGCGGUGAGGUAUGGUGGAGCUGCAGAGCUCCGGUUUGGUCGAGAGAUCCGAAGGAUGGAUCUCCGGCGAAGUUGAGAGGUGGUGGAAAUGAGACGCCCGUGUGACACGUGCCCCCUCGUCGUCGAGGAUGGCAACACGUGUCUUUGUAUCGAAACAGCUGAAACUCGAGGCGGCUGCUCUCUCGCCAGUUUGGGAUUAGGGUUACUCAAGUUGGGCUGGUGGGUUUUGGGCCCAUUUGGGAAUCGAGUUUGGGUUUCGCUAUGGGCUUUUAUUGUAAUUUUUUUGGGCUCGGUCCGUUUUCAUUAAUAUUAAAAAAAAACAUAUUGACGGGAAAAAAAAAAUGGAAUAAGUCCUGAAAAUUAAUGUUCAGUAUUUCAAUUUAGUAACUUUGUUCUAUAGUCAUGCGUGUUUCGUCGUCUUCACACUCUUUAUAUUGUUUUCAGUCAAUUUUAUAUCUAGUAGUAUUGAUAAUUAACAGUUCCAACCCUUCAUAUUAUUUUCAGUCAAUUAAAUAUCUUGUAAUAUCGACCAAGUCAUCUCUAAGUCUAGCCAAAAAAAUAAAACAAGAGAGUGUCACGAGAGGAACACAAUCAUAUUGUUUCUUUCCAUAUUUCCAAGCAAACUCUGUUCUAGUUUCGUUAAACUAUACACAGUACCAGUGUCGGGCUUACCUCUAGAGAUCUAAGACAAAACUGAAAAAUCCUUUAUCACAAUCAUUAUAUUAAAUUAGAAUUGUGCAAAUAAUGAUAAAUAAAUGUGAAUUACUUUAUACAACCUGAAUAUGAAUAUCAAGUAGUGUUACUAGAUAUAACUUUUUUUUUCCUUGACGACUAUAUGAUUAACUAGAUCAAUGAAGUAUUAAACUUAAAGACUCAGUAAAGACAUAACUAACUUCAGUUUAUAAGAUCAAAGAUGAGAGAUUUUGUUGUGCUUAAAAUUGGGCCUUUUUAUGUAGGGGAAGCAAUUGGUCAACCCGGCCUUAUUUGGAUUCGGUAAGCAAACAAAGUUACCUGAGAGGCUGCAAUUUUGCAGUGGCUGGAUCAACGAUUCAGAAAAAAAAUGCUGCACCCAUUAGCCUUUUUGGUUUUGGUGUUCCAGUCUCUCAUUUGAUCACCUUCAAUCCAAAGUUGUUUGAAUCGUAUAUAGUAAUGUACCAGUGUUUUUAAUUGUUUUUCAGAUGAAGCGAUACUUACCUACGGAAUAUUUUUUUUUAAAUGGAUUGUUUAUGUUUGAUGUCGGACAAAAUGAACUUGCCGGUGCAUUUUUCAACAAGACACUAGAUCUAGCUUUUGGUAACAUUCCUAAAAUCCAGAUAAAUUUCAAGAUGGAAUAAAGGUCAGUAUUCACAUGGUGAGUUUAAUAGUCGCAUGCACAGUAAUCUCACAUCAAAUUUACGAUAAAUCAGUUUUAUAAGAACGAUAGAGUACACACAAUUGGUGGUUCACGAAAUCUGACCAACUUUUCUUACAUCUUUGAACCCGCUAUAGAGAAAUUUGACAACACUCUUCAUCCACAUUCAAACCUAAUUAUACUUAAAAAUUAUAUUUAGUAUGUUCAUCAUUUUUUUUGUUUCUUAUGUUUAAUAAUAUAUAUUGUUUUACCUAAAAGCAUGUAGAUUAAAAUAAUUAUUAAUCUUUGACACAAAAAUAAUUAUUAAUCUUUUAGGAUAUAAACGAAAUCUAAUUUGACCAAUUAUAAAAACCCAACAAAUUAUAAUUGGUUACAUUACACAAUAUUCAAAAAGAUAAAAUUACACUGAUAGAUAGAAAUAUGAAAAUAAUCUAUAUUUUGAAGCCAAAGUACAUAUAGCUAUAUGAAACUUGUCUGAAAUUAUUUUUGAGUAACACUAUUAUCUAUUUAUAAAAGAAAUAAUAGGUCGUUAAGUAACAACUUUUAACAAAAAUGAAGCCUCGUUUUCUGACUUUUGUUCGACUCUUCAAUCUUCACCUACCCAAAACAUGGUCUUUGAUUAACAUAAUUACACAAUUAUAUCGAUGAUUGACAAAAUGACAGAAUUAUAUCGAUGAUUAACACAAUGACACAACGAUAUGGAUGUGAAUUCCGUAAAACCCCAAAAAGAUAAAAUAAAAAAGUGUUACGGGAGGAACACGAUCAUAUUCUUUAUUUCCAUAUUAAAAAAAAAAACUCCAUUCUAUUUUCAUUAAACUAUACAUUGUACACACAUACACAUUUCUUAUGUAUACAUACAAAUGCAUAUGUAUAUAUUUGUAUGUGCAUAUAUAAAUAUAAGCAAUAAUGAGAAGAUGAAAGUAUACUAAGCAUUUGACCAAGAAAAGGAAAAAUAUACUAAGCAAUGGAAACCGUUUUUCACUCUCUUCUCAUAUUGUUAUCAUUUGUAGCCAUCUCUCAUACUCAGCCUCUUCUGGCCGGUUCUUUUCCAAUUUCUCCUAAUUUUGCGGCAGUUUUCAACUUCGGAGACUCUAACUCUGACACCGGAGAACUCACCUCUGGUCUUGGUUUCCGUCUCCCACCUCCCAAUGGACAAUCCUUCGUCUUUAAACCUCCAUCUACUGGAAGAUUCUGUGAUGGACGUCUCAUCGUCGAUUUUCUAAGUAAUUCUUCAUUCCUAAAUCCUAACCUUUUCCUUUAUUUACUUUUUUGUACAAACAACUUUUUAACGUAUAAUUAUGUACCACGACAGUUUUGGUGUGGUGUUGUUAUGGUUAUCCACACCAAAAUAGUCCACCAAAAACAUGACUUUCUAGACUCCGCAAUAUUUUCUUUGUGGUAGAUUAAUUUCCUGCAUGUUUUCUUGCUAAACGUGUUGCAUGCACCAUACCAAACUAGUCCACUAAAAACAUGACUUUCUAGACUCCGCAAUAUUUUCUUUGUGGUAAAAUUAAUUUUUACAAGACGAAAUUAUUUGAUCUUUUCUAAUGCGGCUUUCACGCUCACGUUAUUCACAGUGUAGUUAUUAAAUUCAUAUGAACCGUAAGACCCCAAACACCUUCGCUUAAAGGAAAAAUAAGAGUUGAUUUAGUGUUCUUAAAUCAGUUAUGACAUUUAUAUUGCGUAUGUCAUUUGAAACAUUUUUUUCUCUCUAGGAUAAGUCGUUUUGCUCAAUAGAAAAUAAAUACCCUUGUUAAUUGUUAUUGUCAGUAGUUUUUAUGAAAUGAUGUUUUUUUUUGUUAUUUCCUUUUUUGGACGACAGUUAUUUUUUAUUUUAUUUUUUUUGACGACAGUUAUUUCCUAGUUUAUACUUUAUAUUAAUGUUGUGCAAAAAAAUACUUAUUAUGCCAAAAGAAAAUACUUUAUAUUAAUAAAUUUGGAAAGACUGGUCUAGUUGAAGAACCAGUGGUACAAAGAAAAACCAGAUUUUUCUUCUUCUUAUAAACUAUAAAUUUAAAGACUAAAGACAUAACUUACUCUUGUUUAUAAGAUCAAAGCUAAGAGGUUUUUGUUGUUAUGAAAGUAAUGACUUAUGAGAAGUUUCUAAUUAAAAAACGUGCUUUAUGAUGUGACUCUUAUGUAGUGGAAGCAAUUGGUCGACCCUACUUGAGACCUUAUUUGGAUUCAGUUAGCACACAAAGCUACCUGAGAGGCUGCAAUUUUGCUGCUGGUGGAUCAACGAUUCAGAAGGCAAAUGCUGCAUCAUUUAGCCCUUUUAGUUUUGCUGUUCAAGUCUCUCAAUUCGUCACCUUCAAAUUUAAAGUUCUUCAAUUAAUACAACAAGGUAACUAUAAUAAUAAUCCUCAACAUUAUAUAAACUUGUCUGGUUCAUAUAGACAUAUGUUUAUUCAGCUGUACCAACAUAUUUUUUUUUCAGAUAAAACUCUCGAAAACUUACCGUCGGAAGAUCAUUUCAAAAAUGGAUUGUACAUGUUUGAUAUCGGACAAAAUGAUAUAGCCGGUGCAAUUUACGGCAAGACAGUAGAUCAAGCUGCUGCUGUCAUUCCUACAAUCAUAAAAACAUUUCAAGAUGGAAUAAAUGUCAGUAUUUACAUGAUGAGUCUUUAUUAUCAUUGUUGUAAAAAAGUUGCUCUUCUCUAAUAAUUUUUAUUUCUUUUCUAGAGACUCUAUUGGGAAGGGGGUGCGAGGAACUUUUGGAUACACAACACAGGACCAAUUGGGUGUUUAGCUCAGAUGGUGUCAAUAUUUGGGAAAGAGAAAUCAAAAGUUGAUGAGUUUGGUUGUGUCAUUGGCCAUAACGAAGCUGCUAAGCUCUUCAAUUUACAGCUUCAGGGUCUUGUCAGAAAUUUUACUCAACAAUAUCGUGAUGCUAAUUUCACGUACCUCGAUAUCUUCUCGAUCAAAUCCGACCUCAUCCAGAAUCAUUCCAAAUAUGGUAUGUAUUCUAAACUGAACAUAAGGCUGGUAUGUCCCAAAAUUUUGGGAACAAAACAAUUUAAUAGAAAAAUUUAAAAUAAACUGAUAAUGUAUAUUAACUCUUAAAAAUAUAGGGUUAAACCAAUGUUUCACUUAUGCUAAGAAUCGACUAUGUAUAUACCUAACAUUACUUGUAGUUUGUAAAUGAAAACUAUUUUUGGGUAUUGGUAACAGGUUUUGAUCAGUCCAUAAUGGUAUGUUGUGGAACCGGAGGACCGCCACUGAACUACAAUGAUCAGAUUAACUGUGGUUCAACAGGGACAUCAAACGGUACGACAGUAACAUCCAACGCAUGUAAUGAUAGUUCCAAAUAUGUUAACUGGGAUGGAAUUCACUAUACCGAAGCUGCAAACCGGUUUGUUUCACAGAAAAUUCUGUCCGGUACAUAUUCCCAGACGGUGUCGUCUUGAAAUCAGAACCUCUAGUGGGUCUUUUGUUGUUUUUUCAUGUGUGAUAAAAGUUAAAACAGAGCAUUCUCUAAUAACUUUCCUUUCACAACGAUAAAUGCUCUGAUUCAAUAAAAGUUCUCUUGUAAUGUUAUCUUAUAGACCACACACAAGUUUGUACAACACUUACCCACUAACUAUCAGCUGCAUUGUCCAUUGCAUAACUCCUCAUUGUUAUCUUCCGAGUUCGUUAGUAGAUUUAACUUGUCUUCUUCAGUAGCAUCAGUCUCGGAUUCAUGAUCUGAAUCAGCCAUAUGAUCAAAGAAAUCACCAAAGUACCACUUACAAUCUUCUUUCCAUUCGCCUUUAUGAGCAUUAACCCGCCAUUUCUGAUCUGCAAUCAUCUCCGGUGACAAACCCCAUCUCUCUAACUCUUCCUCCGUGUGAUGAAUCGCCAAGCUGUAGUCACCGCCUUGUCCUAACUCCAUAACUCUGAUCUCGCUGUUCCCGGGAUUGUUUAAUGCCUCAAACUGUUCCACGGUCCACUUGAACCAUUUCAUCAGAAACACACGCGAUGUUAACCCAUGAGAAACAAUCACAAAGUUUAGCUCAUGAGUCGGGUUCAUGUGAAGUCUGUUCAUGUCGAUGUCUCUCCAUAGAGACUCAAGAAAGCCUGUAAAGAGGGAAACACAUAAGAGACAAGUUCUUGAAACACUUGCUGUUCAUUCAAAGAGAAAUAAAUGAAAGAACACAAAUUAAAGAGAAGACAAAACAACACAAAUGUAAAUUAUAUAAUAAUUAAUUAUUGUUAUUGUCCUAACGGUUAAUAGUAAAUUCCUCAAAGCAUAUGCAUCUACACAAUCAACAGUGUAGAUUAGUGUUCUAAAAAUCGCUCUAGGCGGCAAAUCGAAACAAAAUGAUUUUUCUUAAACCUUUUUUUGUAUAAUCAAUAAUCUUCUAUAAAGCCUCUAGUUACAGCCUAACAAUUUGGAACAAGCAGGGAAGUGGAAACAUACUGGAGACGCGAUCAAAGACGUCGGCGGCGGAUUCACCCUCCGGGAACCGAUAAAAGAACCGGCCAAACCUCUCUCUAACCUUCUUGGUCGCUCUCAUCCUCUCUUUAACCUGAAAGUUCCCAAAAUCCUGCUCCCUGAUCCGACAUUCCUCUCGAACGCCGAUCACGCGGCGGCGCGAGAACGACCGUCCGAUCUCACGGAGCGUAGAACGCGUCCGAUCGUAAGGGGAGACGUAGAAGCAGACGCGCCACUCCGGCGAAGAAGGAUUGGAGGAGAGCAGGGAGCGGAGACGCGCUCCUGCUUCUUGCGCCUGAAGCAAACCGGAUUCUGUUAGCUGGAUCUUGUGAUCAGGGGUUGUUGUGUAU